CUGCCAAUAAGCCAAUGCACCCGAGGAGUCGUUAACUGUUAUUUGUCUAGUUGCUUGGUCACUUAUAUUGUUUUAAUGAAUCAAUCCUUUCUUUCUGCUCGAGCUCCAUCAUGUACUAUAAACCUAAGACAAAGUACUAUAACCCUAAGACAAUGAAUUCUCAAUAAUAUAGAAGAUCGGUCUUACAUUAUAAGAAAAGAUAGAUCGGCUAAGUCUGACAUUCUCCUUAUUACCCUCGAUUCCCCAGAAUAUAAAUUAUUGUAUAUUGAAGUAACCGCAGAGAUGCAUUUUGAUUAGCCUUAUUGACUCGUUAUUACCUUGACUUUGAUUCACUUAUUGACUCGUUAUUACCUUUACGUGAGUAAGGAAAGGAGGUAAAUGACUUGAUUCUAUAAUGGGUGCACUCAAUUGAAAAAGCACUCAUUGACGCUAUAGGGCUCAUACGAAACUUGUAUAACGGGGUCUAUGCCACUGCCUCUGUCCUAACCUAAUUCAUAGUGUUGGAUUCAGCUGUCUCUGUCCUUUAGUUUUUAAAAGCAAAUCCAAUAAGCUUUUCUAAUCAAAAGCAAAUAUCUCCUUAAAAGAAAAAGAAAGAUCAGAUAGAUAAACAAAAGAAGGAAGUGAGCAAGCGCUGUAACCGAGAAAAGAGUGCAUGCUCAUUAGGCCCCGACCGCCCCUAGCUUUCGUAACCCGUGCUUGAUGCCAAAGUUUGAUACGUCGCCACCACUUCGACCCGGCACAGGCAAACAGUAGCUUCCCUUAACUAAAGCAUGGAACCUCAUACACCAUAAGAUUUUCUAAAUAACAUAUUAUCAUUGUGAGGAAAUCCGUUUCGACGACAGUAACAAAGUAGGAAUGCUGACCCCGACUAACAAGACAGAAGGUAAAUAAUCGAUCAAUUAGAUUGAAGUCCUUUUAUUGAGUAUUCGUUUUUGAAUAUGCUUGGCUUCCAUUGCAUCACACCUACGAUAAAGAAAGGCGGGGAAGGCUUUAUUAAAGAGUCAAAACAAAUUGAUGCAGGCGCCACAUAAAUAGAAAGCAUGUAAAUAGAAAAUGUGCACACUUAGUGAGAAAAGGAAAAAGCAUGAAAACAGAUCCAAACUAUGAGUAAGGAACUGACUUACUGCUUGGCCCACUAAGGGUUACAGAGGAGGAUGCUGUUUAGGGAUGAUUGCAGGAGGAUUUAGUUUAGGGAUGAUUGCUCUUUAAUCCGUCCCUUCCUUACUUCACAAAAUAACUAAUUCCCUAACUCUGAGAAAGCGAGUCUUGUCUUCUUGCGCCGCUCUUCCAGAAUCCAUUCGGGUGGGCCAAACAAGGAAGGCCGUGGAUACACCACUGAAUCGGUCGGGCAGAGAGGUGGUAACCGUGAAACUCCUUUUUUUGAAUCAAAAGGGAUGGUCUUACUUGUUCAAGACAGAGAGCAAUUCCAUUGAAACCAUUUACUGUCUUAAAAAACGAAGUGCUAUUCUUUCUUCUCCAGCCCCUCAGGUAAAGAACAACUAUGUUAUUAGGCUCAAAUGCAUCAGAAGCACCAUUUCCUCAUGAAAACUCAUAUGUGACAAGUAUAUUAUAGAUAGUACUAAAGUAUUAUAGAUAGUACUACUGAAAACCACCCAUGUGAAACAGAGCUAAUGGCCUGCCUGCUUUUAAGCUUGACAGAUAAGGACUUCUUGAAGAGGAAGAGGCAUUGCAAAUCAAUCUUACUGUGUACCGACCCAUUAAGGAUCGUUGAGUUACAUUGGUUGCCUGCCGGUUGCAGAUGAGAUGUUGUUGACUCGGGCAGAGGGACUUCUACACCUUAAGCAGCCUUUCUAUUAACCACAGGAAAGGGUAAGAAAUGACAACGAUUCUAAUAGAGCGGGCCCCCUCUUUUCAUGUCAUUUGUAAGCGUAAGCGCGAAAGAAUGUUGUUGUAGAUAACUGUGCCACUAUGAAUGAUUCAAUUAAGAUGUAAUAUGUUAUAGAUUAUUCCAAAUUAUAUCAUAUGUAUCUCGUCCAUUAUAAGAAAAAGAUGUAAUAUGUUCAUAGAAUAGAUUAUUCCAAAUUAUUAUAUCAUAUGUAUCUCUUCCAUUAUAAGAAAAAGAAAGGGUACCGAUACCCACAUAUAAGAAAGAAUGUCGGCACCCACUAAACAUAUAGUAUUCAAUUAGAAUCCAGAUUAGGUAGUCCUGGCCAAGCAGACAAGUAACGACUUAUAUAGGCUUGGCGCUCUCUACUCAACUCUUAAGUAAGAAUGGCCAAAGAGCCAAGGAACGGAUAGACAAGCAACGGUACAAGCAAUUACGUAUUUUGAUUAGUUAUGAACAAGUCCCUUUUUUGGCCCCAACUCUAUCCUCUUGAUAAGCCUUAUUGUCUCCCGUGCCCACCUCAGUAGCGGUAAAGAGGUCUUUCUUCUUAAUCUUAUAAGAAAGAGGAAAUAAGAAACUAGAUGCUUAGGAGUUAAAGAAGCAGUUCGCAAGCCAUAUCGCAUAGGAAGAAAGCUGCAUGCCAAGAAGUGAAGCCGACCACCUCCCUUCGCACCAAAAGUGUUUCACUUAUGAACCGCCCCAACAAAUAAGGAUGAAACUUGGGAUUCCACAAUAAAUACUGAAUUAAGGAGCAGCUACGGGUAGCGGUAAGUAAACUCCAUUCUGAUUGUCUCCCUCGACAGCCUCCGCUUACCUAGCUUGCCCAGGGCUUGUCUACCUAUCUGCUUUCCUUGCCUUUGUAGCAAUCAAAUUCGUAUAGGAGCCGAUCCUUCUCCCUGUUACUGUUCUUGUUUAAUACCGAGUGAAAUCCAUGUACCAUAUAAUUGAUUCACUUUCCUUGUAGUAGAGUUCGGGAUACACCUAUUUGUUCUGUUCUUAAAGGCAGCAGUAAGGAGUUAUUGUUUGUGGAGUUCGCAAGUAAGUGACAGUUCCGCUCGAAAGAUAACUGUUUGAAGCUAAAGACUGUAUAGGCCCAACAAGUCGUGCUAAUGCAAGUUUCCCACGAGGCGAGAGAUUCUACUGUUUGACAAGGCGCUAACAGAGUUUCUACACGUAAGGAGGUAGCUGUGACAUAGCUUGUUUCAGAAUCCAUCUUCGUUUUCAGAGCAGGACAGGACAGGAUCGGGGAAGCUAAGCGCAAGACGUAUUAGCAAAAGGGCGUUGAAGCGGGGUCUGGUCUACUUAAGUUUCUUGUUCCGUUGCAUGUUAGCGAGUUAAUCAAGCCUUUUCCACAGUGCUAUUCGAGUCUCUUUGGCUUGCUCCUGCGCACAAGGUAAUAAUCAAUCAUUGACUUUAGUCUAGAGGCAAAUAACUCUGUAAGCCGAAAACAGUCAUGGAACUUGCCCGAACCUUUCUCUCUGUAAUAACGGAACUAGAUUCUUACUUGAACCCGACAGCGCUUGCAUCUGUACCGCCGCAAUACAAUCACCUCUCGAGUCUACUUUCCUGGAACUUAUUAUUAUGUUGAAACAGCAGCCUCUCCAGGUAAGGAAGCAAGCAAAGGGUAGUAGACCUAAAGUGCUUGUAUAGGUUGGUGCGCUAACGCGAGUUACGAAAGGAAAGGGGAAGUCAAGACAAGAGCAGAGCCAGCAGUCAGCUGGUUGUUUACUCCAUUCUCUAUUAGUGGGAACACAAGUGAGAUUCUCGUUCCCGCUCAAGUAAACUUAGCACCACUGCUUGCUUAUUAUUAAUGUAGUAUAUAGGACUCGUAUCAAGACUCAGUGCUCAAGGGAUAGUUGAGUUUCUCGAUGGUCAGUGAAAUUGUCAGCAGAAAAAGCAAUGAAUGGCUUUCGAACAGGCAAGAGUCAGCUGUGUUGUUACCGCUCCGUGGGCUAUCCGAACUCCCUUAACUUACAAAGGACAGAAACCAUUAGUAUACCAUUAGAGUUAAGUUUAAGCCAUCUUAAACCUUAGAGAAGCUGACCUAUGUUGCCACAACAAGAGCUCUUCUAACGCAUUGUUUACCUAAUAAUAGAAACCAAACCCUCUCUCUUGCUAAUACAGAUCUUGCGAACUCACUAACAAAUAGUCACUCGCGUAAGCCGAAAUGGGUACUUACGUCUUGCUCCCGAAAACACACGAUACUUGCUAACUUCUUAAUUGCGAGUAAAGACACAGCAACUACUUGUUCCUUCUGCCUUCGCAGCCGUGAUGACGCGGUUCUAAACAUUUCUACUGGAUCUCUUAUUUGCCUCCCGGAAUGCUAGUAUCAAAAAAAGACGAGUGCCUGACUUCGAGCCCAUAGAUCCAAAUCCAGAAGAAGCAUAUGAAUCUCGAGCUGCUUUUCAUUUCUAUCUUAUAUCGCGUGACAACUCCUCCUCCCCUUAUUUGUGAUUACUCCCUUGCCUUAAUAGAAAUUGGCUUCAUCAAUCAAGCCUUAUCCACUUACUGUCAUUCAUUGACUAAUAGCUUCCUCAGAGUCGGUUGGGGAGCUUCCUCAGAGUCGGUUGGGAAGGCGCUUAACCACAUCUUUUCCUACAUUCUUAAGUAGAGCAGAGCAGUAGAGUGGAAAGAUGCUCAUUAAGAGUAGAAAGAUGCUCAUGUUGUAUAUGUUGAGUAAUUUGAUUGAAAUCUAUUUCAUGUUGCCUUAGAUUAUAUUAUGACUUUAAUAAACACUGGCUCAGCUCACUACUGGAAAUAUCUAUCCAUAUAGAAAUUGAGAUCAUAAUGAGAAAGCAUUGGUAGGGUACUGCCUUGUCCGGAAUAGCAGGCCUGAUUGGAAUAACUCACGGAUUGGCUUGCCCUCCCGCACCGACCGACCUUAGUGGACAGACAAGAGAAAGAAUCCUGACUUAAUUAAUUACUGCAUCGCUUCUUAUGUAAUGGCAUUAAUAAGCUUGCAUUCCCUAUACAACUAAUGUAUAGUAUGGACAGAAAAGUGCCGACAUCAAUCUUCUAUUCAAGUCAAGUGCUAACGGAGCUUUGUAAGGAAGCAAUGGCCGUGUUUUUACACUCCAUUCUAUAUGGGAUAGCUAGCUCCCCUUCCAUUCUGUUCAUCAAAGUAAUCAAAGAAUAUUAGUAACAUAUAUAUAUUAGAAUAUGCAUCUUGAUUAUGGACUUGAUUCCGGAGUUUGUUGACUUUAUUCUUGAGUUGAUUCAGAAGUGUGUUUAGUUAUUCAUAUGAUUAAGGAGUUAGUUUACAUGGUUCUAUCUUAGGUGGAGAGUGAGUGAGUUGACUCUAUUCUAUCAGAUUGGACUUCUGAAACCAAUCCGUAGUUCACAGUCCGCAUUAACACUUGGGCUGAUAUCAUCAACCGUGCUAACCUUGGUAUGGAAGUAAUGCAUGAACGUAAUGCUCACAACUUCCCUCUAGACCUAACCUAGCUGACACCCACCUUCGUCCCUUCCAGCUUUGUAUCUCCCCCAUUGAGUCGUGCAAUAACAAUAAGGUCUCACAGGGAUUGGGACAAUAAUACAAAUUCCUGCACUGAUAAGGUGAGAAAGAAGACCAGAUUAGCCCUUAGGUCACUGAUACUAUAUCCCUGUCCUCAUACUAUCUUCUUCUCAGUUAGUUUGAGUUUCCGGUCUUUGCCUUAUCUCUCCGUAGCGUAAGAAAGGAUCUUAUUGUUUACCAUCCCUCCUUCCUGUUCAUCUACCUGCACAGGGUUAGUGCUAUUAUUGCAGCAGAUUCGCCAGUCGAAAAUCAUCCCCUUAUUUCUAUGUUGGUGGGUAGUGAGCUAUUGAUGUGGAUGGGCUUGAUGAGGAAUUCGAUGCCUGACCUCUGCCUGGUACCCAAAAAGCCUAUGCUUCUUCUACUCAUGUUCUACUACUUAUGACUCAUGUUCUACAACUUAUGUUAGUUAUGAAACUAUUGGAAGCUGUUAGUUAUGAAACUCUUUUAUGCUGCUACUAGUGCCACCGGCGUCGGGUAAACUUCUUCUACUCAUGUUCUACAACUUAUGUUAGUUAUGAAACUAUUGGAAGCUGCUACUAUAACUAUAACCGGUAGUAUUGUGCCCCCCAUCGCUGAUGUUGGUGCUGGGUCUUAAUCACGAACACGCAGUUUCAAUCUGGAUUAGUUGUGACGGCACAUCGAUUUCUCAAUCAACCCAAGCUUCCUUAUACUCAUAUUAUUGCAACUUACAGAAAACAUUUUUGAGAACCCGAAAGUCCAAACCAAGUUGUUCGAAUCUCCUAGAAAAUCUAUGCAUACCUUGUUCCCUACAUUUCCCCCGCUAACCGGUACUACAUUCGCAAACCAAUCCGGAUGAUGCAUGGGGGGCCUGUCUCGGUCUCAUUGAAAGGUGAAGUGCAAGCAAGCAAGUCAAGCCAAGCAGUACUAGAUAGAGUGUGGUGAUUCUUUAUUCUAUUGAGGUGUCUAUAUGAUCAUCUUAUGGAGAAAGGUCGGAUUCAAGAAGUCAAAGUAAACCAACGGGCGACAAUUAGAAGAGAGUAGAAGCUGGUGCAGGCGGUGCGAAGUACUCUUUCUUUUCGGAAUUCAUGGCUAGACCCUGUGCUUACCUAGAAAGUGGUAUGUAAGUAAGUCCACCUACGGCCAGGUUGUCCACCGGAUUAAGUCUGCUAAGAUGAACUCGGAUUUUGCUCCUUGCCUUCUUUAGGCCUCUUGAUUGCCUACGAAAGAGAAAUAGGGACAUCCUUUAUUGUUAAGAGCACCACUAGGAGUUCACCUGAUUCCUUUCUUACAGUGCAGGAGUGACCAUACUAGACAAGCAAAGUGUGACAAGCCGAAAUGAACAAGUAAUAAAACCAGUAGAGCAACAAACAGUAACAAAUCCUCUGUGCUAAGGGAGUAGGAGAACCUAUGUGCUAAGCAAGAAACCCGAGUUAAGGGAGUUCAGUGCAAAGGAGUUAAUAAAACCCAUCCUUUCAUUAAUGUUAACUAAUAAAUGGUUAUCCAUCAUUUUAUAUCCCUUCCCUAUUCUAAUCCGAUCCUGUUUUCGUCAACUAGAACGGAGACUGGCUAUUCAUUCUCGUCUACAAUACCACCGAGCUGGCUACUUCUCGUCUACAAUAUCACCGAGCUGGCUACUUCUCGUCUACAAUACCACCGAGCUGGCUACUUCACCUCUUAUUCUUGAUCGGACUAACGCUAUACACGAACAAAGGAACAAAAUACAGGUUACGAAGAAAGGACUGGAAAGAUGGGCGCGGGUAUACACUCUAAAUGAACUCCGUUAUUGCUACCGCUCUUUUAGCUCGCUACCGCCCAGUGUUUAACUCGCUAGUUGGAUUCUGUCUGGGUGAAGGGGCUAUCUGAUUCUUGGCCUACUUAGGGACAUUCUGAUCUUGUGGAUUAAGGCCUCAGGCUUGUUGGUACUGGUUGAAGGCUGGGCGGAUCUAGUUGAAGAGUAAGUGGCACUGGCUUGGUUCUGAGUACCUAACAGCACCAGGCUUAGUAUACCUAGCUCGGGUUGAAGUCUUUAACUACCUUGUUUCAGGCUGAGUCAUAUGAGUGGAAUUCUGAGUCUACCUCCAAAGCCUUCUACUUACUGGGCUGGGCGCAUUCUUGGACGAGUGAGUUGGAUUCUAAGAUUGACUGGUGGAAUUCUUAGCUUCUGGCUAGCUCCCCUCUUAGGGACAUUCUGUAAUUCCUUAUUGGCUCGGUGUUGCCUUAUAUACGAGUAGCAAUUCCAAUUCUGAAAUAACUUAUAUACGAGUAGCAAUUCCAAUUCCGAAAUAAGAUAUGAUAGGCCAAGCCGACUUCUCCUCUUACAACUAAUACUUCCUCUCCUCUGUAAACUAACGACUACUGAGUGCAAUUCUCACUUAAGAACUAUCACUGGGGAUUCCACUUCACCAAAACACGGGAAAAAGGUAGCAAACGGAUAAAGUGGUUGACUCUACAACUUACUAUAAGGGCUCUGGACUAGAGCAUAGCAUCUCUUCUACCUAUGGCAACAGUCAACUUCAUUGGUUCCCUUUCCACUCCCCUUAUAUAAAGCACCGACACAGUGUUCAAAACAUUCCAAUCGAAAUUCACUCUUAUUAUAUUAUUCUUAUCUUAUAUACGAUAUACGAAAAUAUACGAUGAUAUACGAAAACAAUAUUCUACGAAAACAUUCUUUUUUAUCUGACUUAUAUUAUACGAAAACAUUCUAUCUUUAUUAUACGAAACCGUUUACUCGUACUCAAAGAUAUUAUCACCCCCUAUGCCCUAACCUAAAAAAGGCACCCACAUCUAUUAUACCUCUUCAGGCGAGGCGCUCCGACCCCGCGCACUGCAUCGAUUCUCUAUCAGCCAAGCGAAAACUAGACACACCUAUAGCACCGAACUACUAGAGCAUAGCACCGGCACCAUUAACUAGAGCACCGAACUAUCACUUUUCGGACCUCUCUUAUCUUUCCUUCCCACGCCAACACACCCUACCUGGCUUUCUCACCAGGGCAGCUAUUGUCCAUCAGAAGUUUUCCUAUAUCACAAGAGAAGAUAGAAUUUCGGAUGAGACUCAGGCUAGGUAGCGAGCUAGAGGAACGGCAGGUUAGCUAGUCAAUUUCCGGAAGUCAACCAGAAUUACUAUAAGGGCCCCUUAACUAGACACAUGGCAAAACAGGACCCAUCCGCGGCACCCACAUCUCUUAUAGCGACACCCCCGGCACCCACAUCUUGAGUUUGAGCACCCGAAACGAACUCUUAUAAGUGUUAACCCCGAACCGAACCUACCUCUACUAUUAAUGACUAUCUUUUCCCUUGCAUUAGACCCCUUCUCUUCUUAUCCCUUGUUGGUGGUUUCAAAUAUACAGGUUCGGUGCUUUAGUGGUGGAGGCUCAUCCAUCUUUUCAUAACUAUUGAUUGCUCCAACAAGCAGACAGGCAAGUUACUACUAGUGUUGCGAAGAAUCUAGUGUACAGGUUUGUGACCCUAAUAUAUCAUAUAAUACCAGAGUUUCAUCCUUAUUAGUAAGUCAAGAUAGGGUUCAUGAAAAGCUAGUCAAAGAAAGAAACAAAGCUCUAUUAGUUUGAUAGGCAUGUUGUUUGAUAGGCAAUAGGCACAACUUACUAUAAGGAAGGGCUGGAACUGGCUAUUCCCCACGAGACUUCACUCGCAUUUAAAGAGAUUAUAAGCCCCUACCCCGUAACUACACACAUGGCAAAACAAGACCCGGCACCAGUGGAUUGGAUCUUAAGUCAACAAAUCAUGAAACUAGUGUCAACAGGGCUUUUGAAACACUGCCUCUACUGCCUCUGAUCCUGCCCCAUUUCUAUUCAAUACAAUACGCCCCGUAAACCUCCCUGGAUGCCAGCCCAUUCAUACUAAUUUAUGAGUAUUAAUUCCACUUCACUUUACUUUAAUGCUUUUGGCGACCACUACGCUGUAGAUGAAAAGUCAGGGUAAGCGGGAAAGAAAGCGCGCACAGGGUCCAGGGCAUCAUCUAGUCAUUUCUAUUAGUAAUCAGCGGAAUCAAGAUCUUGAUCGGGAUCUUAUUUCAGUGAAAAAGUAAGCUAAUGCGGAUUCGUCUCUUUCUUAUAGCUUUUCUCGUCGGACUUGCCCCUUACUUUGACUUACGCCUUUGCUUAGGAGCAAACCUUCUGCUUUCAUUUCAUCUUUUCUUUGGAGCGCUGGGUCAAUCCAAUCACCUUCCGCUACGGAAACUGGUCAUUAUGCUACUGAAACUGAUCUAACUGGCUGUCUUUUCGCUUUAAUCACUCGUAUCGGGACCUCAAAUCCAAGAGUAAGCUAAUGCACCCGGUCAAAAGCCCUUUACUCUACUCCCUUGCCUUAACAGAAACCUUUGUAUGCCAUGCCCCCUUGCUUGACAGAUCUAUUUAUAUCCUUAUUCCUCACCUGGCACUGUUCCUUACUCUACCAAAACAAGGUGGUUUCGAGAGCUGGAUAAGAAUAUCUUACUGGGGCAAGGAAGCAAGGUUAAGCGGAGAAUUGCCGGAUUCUGAUUACUCUAAAGGGACGGGAGUUGACAAUGAAUGGGGCCUAUACCUAUAAAGAAUUCAAUUCGAACAUACAAAGGGUGCGGCGCAUAAGGCUCUUGCCCGACCCCUCAACUCAUAAGUACGAAUUGCACUUACCCCCGGGGAAACGGAAUCCGUAGUGGAAUACAGAUCCUUAGCUGGAUGGAUAAGAGUCAAAAGCUAUAUCCUGAGUAGGAACCAUAUCUGAUGCUAGAAGCUCCGUUUUCGAGUAAGGAUAAAGGAGUUCUGGUGUUGGCGCAAGUACAAAUACAGGUGUUUCAAUUCAAUAAACAGGAUCAGAAGUGUUACCAACGAAGUAAGUCACAACAUAUUCUAUAUUCUUGGAUUUGUCAGUUCAAUUCCAUUAUCACUUUGCGAAGGUUAGUUUACAACCCGUAGACAAAGUACGUUUUGAAGCAAAGCUCUUAGGUUCCUCUAUGACUUCUUUCUAUAAUUGGAGAGCUAGAACACUAAAUGAGAAAUUCCAUCAUGUUGCACAAGCAGUUCACAACAAGCAAUCUGAUAGACUAACAUGUGCUCGAUAAUCAAUUGAUUUAUUGGUUGACUGGCCCUACUGCUCGAAGUACUGAUUGGAAACCAACCUCUUGUUAAUGCGCGAAGGAGUGUACUGUUACUGACACCUAGAUACUCAACGUGGAAUCCAAUCUUUCUUGUUUAUUUCGGGCCUAUUUCAGUUGAAGACUGGUCCAGACUUAUUAAUUGUUGCGAUAGCAGUAGCAAGUAAAUAACCCCUCUAAACUUCACUUCUAGCUUCUAAACUGACUCCCGAAACAGGACUAGUUGGGCCUGAUCCAUAUCCUUAUGCUUAUCCUGUUUUAAAUCCUGUUGCCAAUGCCAUUAACUUCAGGGCAGAACCCAUCUCCUCUCCACUAGUUCUUGCCCCAACAUUAGCUUCAUCUUUCGAUCGACGAACAGAACAAGUAUGAAGUAAAGAUACGCUUGCUGCUGAUUAAGUCCAGGGCAAAGCUACUACUAGACAAGAAUUGACCUGCUACAACUCAAAUGUACGGUUAAAGAGAUUCAAAAGUCAGCAUUAGUGAGGGCGGCUAAUAGCUCUGCAGAAGUAUCCAGUCAGCGGGACAGAAAGAAGGAUAAAGGUAAGAAUCGACUGCCCUCUUCCUUGCGCCUGUAGCAUGAUAAAACGGAUCUGAUAUCGUUGACUUGAAUGGAGCCUUUGAUACAGAAGAAUCACCUGAAAGCAGGACUUCCUCCUAUCCGAACUCUCUAAUACUGGACUUGUAAUAACUUCCACAAAGAGACCGGACCGGCCUUACUGUACCUUAGCGUAUUCUUAGUAGUACUUGUAUCAAUCAAACUUCCCCUGUUACCUUACAUCCUGACUAUCCUCCAUAUCCGUCCAACACUCCUGACUUCCAGUCCUAUGUUAGAGAGUUUACCCUGAAACUUCUUUCUUUUAGCCUUAAGCCCCUAGCUCCAACUCGCCCAAACCUAUCUAUUUAUACGAUGAUUCUUUUAUGAUAUAGUAGUAGUGAUAAGAGGAUAGCGCAUCCAGUAAUAGACUCAGAAUUCGAAUAUUAAGCACCAGAAAUAGACUCAUAAUAGUACCCUCGACAAGCAACAGGGCAAGCAACGUGUAUAAAACGAAAACUGCUAUACCAUCCUGAACUCUGAAACUAAUAUCUAUAAUGAUUACUAUCCUGUCCUAAAGUCUGGGGAUGCGCCCAAAGAGCUUAUACUUACCAUAUCAAUGCCUAUGCCCCGCUUUCAGGCUUACUUUCUACUUUGAUCUUGACUUUGGUUAGUCACCAGCCAAGUGCUCUUACCGUACUACUUGCGAGUUAUCUUCUUUAUUCAUAUAGAAAUUCCAAUACUCAUGAGUGUAAUUCCGCCCUUCAAACCAGGGUUCCAACCUAGGACUCAUUCCUAUACAACCUCAUUCCUGUACUACUAAGUUGAGUUAUGUUACUUACGCCUCUUAGCCCUAGACUUGAGAGGAGCACUCGAGAGCUUAAUAAUGAUGCUAUAGCUUCAAACCAACAACUCUUCCUUGUAUUCUUUAUUACUUAUUUGGAUUCUCCGCCUUACUUGGUAGAUUCUCUCAUUGCACGCUUUUGCAUUCCCUUAAUCACUAGUGUCAUUCCCGGGCUACUAAGUUGGAUUCUCACUUUUGUUAGUUAGUUCUGACUUCUGUGUUGUUAGUUGAGUUCUUACUAAAACCUCUAAUACUCUUUUCUGGAGUUAUAGGACCCAGUGUUUCAGUUUGCCUAGGAAGGGCAGAGACAAGUCACUGACAAGCUAGAGUGGAAGAGGCGAGUAGAAGGCUAAAUCAACAAGCAAUACUUUAAGAAAGGAGUCAGGAUGCUAAGUUUAAGGAAUAAAGAGAAAGAGGAUCGAUAGUGGAAUACGUUAACUCAAAAGCAAGGAUGCAACUAACGAGUAAGGAUUAGACUGCCGAGGACAUUUAUGAUUCCGCACCCGAUGCUCUCUUACCUAGCUCCGUUAUUAUACUAAUGUAAUGGAUUGAGUUCCAACUUAUGUGUUUCAUUAUUGACUUACUACUAUAGGUCUUAUAAUGCCAUAGAUCAUGUUAUACUACCUUAGUCUUAUAGCUCUGAUGCGUUAUACUUCUUAUCAUGAAUAGCCAGGGUAAGUAAUCAAACCAACAAGUAAGGCUUGUGAAAUACGAGAGCGGAACAAGGCUUUGCUACUGUAAGUGAAUUCUGUCCUAUCCGAACAAGGGUUCCUAUCCCUAACGAUGAGGCCCUUCUUUCCUUCUUUGACUCCUUAUUCCUAGUAUCGAGUUCGGUUCGGGAAGGUAAGUUUAGAGGUAUAGUUCGGGAAGGUAAGUUUUCAGAAAGAAAGUAAGGAAGGGGGCGCUUAGAUGUCAAGGGCAGAGUGAAAUACAUAAGAUAAUGCUUGUAUUAAUAUCAGUUUGUAGAAGAAGAAGAAGGAAUUGAAUAAGUCAGAAUAAAGCGGGAAAGGGAGACUCCCACUGGUACAUAGGACCCGGAUCAGCAGUUAAGUUAAGGAAUCCCUAUAAGUCAUGAAAGAACCAAAGACUGGAACUGGAGACUCGUAGGCCGUAAGGAAAGUAAGCCAUAACCUCAUAAGCCCCGAUUAGAUUCAGUAGUAGCAGGCCUCUAGUUGGUAGUGGCAGGCCUAUAGUUAGUAUAGUUGGGUACGCUAGACCAUAACUAUAUUCUUUAUCCCCCAGAGGUUGAUUCUUUGGCCGAGUUGUUCAAUAUCCUGCAUUUUCCCGAUAGAGGUCUUUUCUACUGCACCAUAGAUCCACUUAUUCUUAUUAAAUAGUUGGAUUCUCGCUCUACUGCCCGAGAGAACUAGUUGGCUUGUUAAGGUAUUGCCAACCCGGAGAAAUUCCAACUUAGUUGCGAAAGAAUCAAUCCAGUAAUAAAGAAUAGAAGCAUCGAUAAAAAGAGACGAGUAGCUACUAGGCGCCAAGCUACUACUUAAAGUGAGAAUGGAGCUGGUGUCGUUUAACUCGCUACCGUUUAGCUCAGACUCCUACCGCCCCGAACACAGGACUUGGUAAUAACAGCUCGCUACUGCCCAGAACACAGGACAUGACUUGGUUCUAACUCAUACUAACACCGGCUAGUACUAUACAGUUGAAAACAUUCCUUCCAAUUCUUCCUAUUCGAAUCUUUCUCUUAUUAUAGGAAAACACUAAAGUGACUCCUAGGGCUACUAAUACUGUUAGGGCUCUGGACUACUCUCCUAUUUUAUUAACUCUUUCACUCCCUAGUUAUGAACUCCCUUCCCUGAGACCGAGUCAACUAAUACGGAUGAAACUACUCGUAUACAAGUUUGGGAUUCCACUGGAACAAGAGCAGUACUAUACGAGUACUACCUGUCUUCAACUCACACUCGACAAACUAGAACAGCCCCGAUUGCUGCUGUCAACUAUCAUACCUAUGACAACAGGCUCCCGUUAGCUCACUUAGUGUUUAUUACCUAAUCUCUCUCCUCUGGCUCUGGCUCAUCUACCGAAGUCAACUAAUGGGGUAGUGUUGUUGACUUACUUGUUGGGGAUGAAACUCUGACAACGGAUUCAAGGGGCUCCUGCCGCCUUCCCGCUCGCUACCGUUUUCACUCUAACUCCUACCGCGCCUAGAUCGGCUUGGUCGUUAGUAGUGGCUUGGUCAUUAGAAGUUGCUUGGCCCCCUUUCUGAUUACCUGGACAAGCAUACUCGCUACCACUCCACUACACCUCUGAUUCCACUGGACUACUACUUGGAGGGUUAGACUUUAGACCAUCAUUUCUAUACACUCAAAUUCAGUAUUUCGAAUAUGGAGCUGUUUUUCAUGUGAUUUACCAUUCCACUAAGAAACUGUCCUUAGAAGUCAUUUCUUCCUAACAUCUUGAGGGUUCAGUUGUAGGUGCAGCUACCUCUAAUUCUCUAGUAACCCACUUCUAUAGGACCAGACCACUACUUGUAAACUGAGCCUAGCCUCCUUCCUCCUUGCAAAGAAAUAUGUAUUUACCCCGACCCGCACUCGACUUCUUUCCCUGCUCUUUAUUCCCCAACUGCAUCUUAUCUGAGUCUAACUUUAAUACACCAAUUAUCAUUCUAUUGGCUCCGCCUUUCCAUACCUAGGCUAUUGACUACACCCGAAACUCUGUCUGUCCUUCCCGCUUAUCUAUCUUAUUGAACUCACUCCUAAGCUUCCCUAUCUUAUGAAUCUGCUCCUUCACUCGAGCAGGACUACAGAUCUUAUGGAUUCAAUAAGAGCAAGAACCGGUACCUCGAAUCUACCUAAGGCUACUAAUACUUAUUGCCCUGGAAACAGGAUAUUCUCUAACUAAGGUAAAGGUCAAGUCAGAUGAGCUACAACUACAAAGGCAAGGAGACAAGCAGAGCGUGACAAGCAGACUUAGGCGCGUAAGUGAGUUACCCAGACAAGUAACAACUACUAACUGGCAGCUUAAGCACUAACUUAGUUCAAUUCAAACUUUCACUACAGAGUUGUGCCUAGUAGGGGUAUGGGUGGGCGUGUCAUAGAAGAUGUCAAACUUCGGUAGUACUGAAUGAGGCUCCUAUAACUUCAUUCUUAAAACACAUAGCAAGUAGACCUACUAACCACUGGGCCAAGAGAUUCAUUCCAUUCCUACUACUAAUGCUUCUUUUCUAUCUCCUACUCAGGAUAUCCCUAACGACACUCCGCUGGCUACUAGCUAAUCUCUCCCCUCUGUAAACUAAUACUUUUCUUGCUCUGGACUACUCUACUACUUGUUUGUAUUGAUUCUGGUUCGAACUAGCAGCCCUUUAGGCACUACUUACUAUGUAGCUUGGCGCUUCACUUUAUCACCCGAACAGCCUAUGAUCUAUAAUACCUGGCUGGCACUCGACCUCCCCUAAUACUUGUUCCACUGGGCUGGGCUCGCUUACCAAAGAACUCAACUCAGCAGUCAAAGGAGCUACACUAAGAAUUCCACCAAUAAGGCUAAGAACGCAACCACUACUAAUAAGAAAGAAACAAGUCAGUCUCCUCUACUAGAUGUGGGUUUCCAGUCAUAGGUCUAAUUCUUAUUUCCUAUCAUCUGUUUUCCUAUCAUCAGUUAUCAUAUAUAAAGAGAAUAUAUAAUUUAGUAGGGGGCCAAGUAACUACUAGACAAGACGGCAAGCAACCACAGUACUGGUAAAAGCCCUGCCCUCGUAUUGGAAUUAAAACAAGCCUACCCNNNNNNNNNNNNNNNNNNNNNNNNNNNNNNNNNNNNNNNNNNNNNNNNNNNNNNNNNNNNNNGCCAAUCAACUAAGGAUGCAACAGGACAACCACUAGUUUCAGGGUAAAACUAUACCUCUCCUCUUUAAACAAAUACUUCCUAGCCUCUGGUAAAGCACCAAACCUAUCUCUACCCUUACACCUCAAGUAGGAUAACUGAUGAAACUCCCCUUGAAACAAAUCAUUCCAAUAAGAGAUUUCACUCAGCCAACUGACUAUAAGGGCCUAUCCUCUUGUUCAUCUAACUUAGCAAGUGGGCGCGGCAUACAAUCAGUUCACCUGGUUUCGUUCUUAAACUACCUAGCUCAAUCCUCUGAGGGGCAGUGGUUGUACUCAACAAGCAACUUAUAAUGUAUAGCGGUAGAGAGUUGGGGCUUACUUGUUUCAUUCUGUCUUCUGAGUUGGUCUCCCUAGCUUCCCUCUAUCUAUCCCUCUGGCAACAAUCCCUUCAUUCUGACUUGUUUACUACCGAGGAUUUACUACCCUGGACAGGCGAACAUAGGACUUGUUUAUAAACUGAUUCAACUACUCCACUCAGGCAACAGAUACCUGUGGUCGUCACUAUUUGCUAUAAAUAAGAGGAAUGUGCUAUCUCGUACCUGAGAAAUAAGAGGAAUGUGCUAUCUCGUACCGGAGUCCAAUCUCUUCUCUGACCAGUGAGUUCAACCACACCCCAACUAGUAAGUAACUGAGACUACCCGAGCCUAGCCCCUCAUAAAGCCUGUAACUACUUAGGUCAAUUCUGAGUCUAUACCCCAGCUACCCUUGCUUGCAUUCUUAUACUCAUUGGUUUCAUCCUAUCUCUACCCCGCUUCAGUCCCAUACUACAUAGCUUCAGGCUUGACUGUCCCUGUUUGGUUCUGUGAGUUAGUAGUUGCAUUCCGGUUGGCACUGCUUUAAGGCUCUCACUAUCGAUCACCCUACACAUCAGUAUGUCCUUACUUAACCUAAUUCUUUAGCUGAAUAAACUAGAUCUCUUUGAUUUCUGGGGGUGCGUUAAUAGUCAAAGAGCAGCACAACCCUUUUACUUGUCAGCUACAUCUCCUCUCUCCUUGGUGAAAACUGGAACUACUGAUCUCACGUGCCUAGCUGAAGUAUUCUACUUCUAUGUCUCGGAGGCUAACUCUGCCAUUACUGACUGGGAUUCUUUAACCAACGAUACUGAUCCUUUCACUAAUUACUAUGAGCUUGCCUUUACUUGCUUAGAGCCUUGCUUGGUGCUCUGACUAUCUAUCCAGUUGCAAACUGACACUAGUACUUCUAUGAUACUUGAAAUCGAUAGUAGGAAAUCAACUCUACACUGGGAAUGGAACGUAGACUCAAAAGGCGAACCUCCCCCGUACUUCUAUUCUCUAACUAAUGAUCCCAAGGCUUACUCCCUCUCCUCUCUGACAACCCUCAAGCUACCUCUCUUUGUUUUCAUUCUAUCCGUCCCUGCUUCCAGUCUCUAUGUUGUUCCUCGAACCUUACUAUCCCGCCUUUCUAGCCUUACAUGACUUUCUCUAGUUCUGGGUAUGAUCAUCUACUGAUAGAUAUAUAGGUCUAAGAGCACUAGCAAUAAGAAUAAGUAUAUUAACUGGGAAAUAGAAACAAACUCGGUAUUAUAAGAAGUGAGCGCUACACUAAUGAUUAAGCUUUCACUGCUGGAGUCAAACCUUGCUCCCAGCCCCCCUGCCCUUGUCUCUAACCGGUUUCUCAGCCUUACUUUACUUAUUUCAAGUCUUUAGUUCACUGUGGAGCUGCCAUUACUAAAUCUCAUUCUAGCUAUCGCCCCUUCUUCCACUGUUUAGUUAAAGUCUUGCCUUCCUGCCUAUUAGUCUGAAUGCCUUGUCUACUGUUCUUUGACUACUGCCAGCUAAGGCUGCCCUUGCUUUACGUUCUGUUAGCUGUGCUUUUCUUUCUUCUACUGCUACUAUAGGCCUGUAACUACUGAUAGAAAUUCUCCUUCGAUUGAUGCAAACUGCCACGGCUUACAAACAUGACCCUUAUAGUGGGUUUCAACAAAUACUCCUGUCUGUUAGCCUGCCUUUACUUACCCAUAUGCUUUAACAAUAACUACGGAUUCGGAUCCUUAGGCUUACUACCACAACUACUAACUAUAGGACUAAGUAAAAGAAACAUGGAAUCGAACACAGAAAUCAGAAGAAACUGGGUCAGCUAACAAGAAUGCAAUAGUACUCAAAAAACCUAUAGACGAGAACUCAACACUAGUCAUUUCAUAAUGAAGUAAUAACCACUAGCGGGAGGAGCGAGGUGUAAGAAUCCAGUAGUGCUAACAAGAUUCCAACAAGAAUACACUGGCAUAGGCUAGUAUACUAAUGGAUCAAACUCUGUAGUAUCCGCCCUUACCCGACCAGGGCAAGAGAAGAGAGAAAUCAACUCAUUAGUGUCGGAAUGAGUGUGCGGGGGCACUGAUUAGUCACAGAAUUGAGGAUAAGAUAAGGAAUUCUAUUAUCGGUUCCCUAGCUCUCAAGUAGUAACAUAUCCCUAGCUCUCAUCAAGUAGUAAAUACAGAGUGCUAUAAGUCGUCUAAGAAGUUAGGGCGUGUGUGGAGAACCUCCGCGCUACGUUAGUAUACGCUUUGCCGUUGCUUGGCCCCGAAAACCUUACUUAUUGAGUCAAGUCACACAGCAAAAGAUUGAAGCGCUGAAGCCAAAAUAAGCAGUUAAGGCCGACUACAUGCUUAAGUAGGUUGUAGCUCCUAGCUUAGAAAGAGGGAAUUAUGCUUGUGUCUAAGGCUUUUGUUUCCCAUAUCGUUUCUAGCGUCGUUAUGCUCCUUGUCAUAGAGUUCUGUUCUUGUGUUGUCGUAGAUAUCAGCCUAAUCUCUUUUUCAUGCUAAGAUUAAGACAAGGCCCGCUACUGGGUUAAGUGGAAAGCUAGUGUCUAUACUCACUCGCCCUUUGUUCCUUACGUGGGUUUCAAUUGAAAUAGACGAAAGGUUUAGACGAUACCGCUUGCUUACUUUGUUUCCGGGUGGGGUGGGCAGUCAAUUCGAACUUUCCUACUUGCCUACCUCGACUCUUCUCUGGCGAAUGAUUCUCUUAUUUGACCCCUAUUGCUCUCAUCUCAUCCAAAUCCCACUCAGGCAACCAUCACUCUUAUCUGGCUCAGAUACUUCUAUCAGCUCUGUUCUUGCCUCCAUCUCACUUGCUCUAGUACUAUUGCUUUGCCAAUUGAACUGACACUGCAUGGUCAACAACUCCCUUAUCGUUUGCUGCUGACGACUACUUCACCUACCUCGACUUAAUGCUCUUUUGACUCAGUUAGUGCUGAAGAAGCCCAAACACAGUACUUAUGCACCCAGGUAAAGCUUCAAUUGCAUCUCAUAACUCGUUGUCGGCUUGUCUAGCUUAACUCACUGACGCCGAAGACAUAACUUGGAAUAACAAAUUCUGUAAAGUUCUUUGCUUCUUUAUUGGAAUAAGGGGGCCUGGCCUUGGAAAAGUAUUACCAUUGUGCUGCUACAGAAAGAGAAAACCAUGGAGAAAAUCGAAAUAGAAACCAUCUUUUUGAGACCCUAAUAAACCACUCUAUUUGCUCAUAUAAAAUAACUGAAUGGGCACCCCGAGGAGCGGCUCUGAAUUGAACUUAUUGGUGGAAGCCUAUGAACCGCGGCGAACAGACUCAUUGUGGUAGUGGUGGUUACUUGUCUCUUUGACUUUGCCCAGUUGUUCUUACUUCUGAGUGGAAUUCCCUAAGUACGCUUCCAGCAUGGGAGGAAGCAUUGCAGUAGGGCAGGGCAAAGAAUCCAAAGGAUAACCCAUUAAUAGUUUCAUUGUGACUUAAGAGUAGGAUUCCCACUUGAUGGUUUGAUUCUCACUUUAACAGAAUGAAAGCAUCAUCAAUACAGAAUGCAAGCACUGCCAAUAAAGAGUUGAAGUCAUUAGUGAAAGAGUCAAAAGCUGUGCAACUCACUACCGCUGAAAACUGGAGGAGAUCGAGGUUGAGGCACGAAAGGCACGAUUCCGGCUUUGCUCCCCGGGGAGCGGGCAAGGCUUCGGGUUUACCUGGUGAUAAUAAAUAAGGUUGCGUUUUAUUCCCAUAGUAGUAGCUAAGUUCAUCGACCGCAGACGAAGGUACGGGCACCCGGCCCAAGAAGAAUGAUGUUGACUUAUAAUAAUUAUGUUGACCAAGAAGAAUGAUGUUGACUUUUGGCACCGGCACAAACACACCUCGUAGUACGGGAGAAACUCACACAUAUAGAGCCGGGCAUGCACUUAAUUCUUCAAGUAACACAACAAAACUCUUCGGGGAUCAUUGGACAUCAACACCGGCAAUGGUGUCGACACAACGUUCAUUGGGCGGACUCCCGGGGCACUCGCACAGUCUUUCUUUUAGCAACCAUUCAGUAAUUCUUCGUUCGUUCUGUAGUGAAUCCACCUCAUUGUUAUAGCUCCGAUGUGCCCAAUCAGUCUUGCAGGUGGGGGAACCCAAUAAUUCAGUGAACGGACCCCCGUGAUGGUGCGUUUUGUUCAACGUCGAUGAGCGGUCGUUCGUGCAUCGAUGGUCCUAGGGCAUAGAAGGUAGUACCUCGGCCAUUCUUCGAUUAGCAUCGCCCAGUAAUAGAAGGUAUAUCGCACAUUGGACAUUAAUGAUAGAAUUCUUGAUUAUUGAUAUGAUUCUGUUUACUUAUAUUGAUUAUAUUGGAGAUAUGUGUUUUUAUAUGAUAUUUGAUUAGUGUUUUCCUAUAGUGGGUUCAUGCUCUUAUGCCCGGUUUCGAUUCUUUGUAUUACUGGUAAAUUCUUUGAAACCAUAUUCUACUACUCAGGCGCUGUAUUCGUAAUCAUAUAUUCUACUAAUACUUAGUUACAUACUGGAUGCACUAGAUCAUACCCAUUUCUGUUCAUAGUUUAGAGCAGCUUAGCUUGACUUUCUUCUUGCUUUUCGCCAUUCCUAUUACUUUUCAUCAUUAGUAUUAAUAUGCUCCCCACACUGCCGGUAUCCCUACUUUUGUGUUUGAUUCCCUCCGAUCCGAUGCCCCAUCCUUUGACUUACUUGUUUGAUUCCCUUUCUCUUAUUCCAUUCUUUUAGUAGUGGCAGGAGUCCUAGAAGCAGUAAAGCAAGGCUAAAAGACGGGAAAGGAAGACUCUGAGGCGCACAUAGGAGCUGAAGGAGCAAAUACAGAUGUGAUAUCUAAAUAGUAAGCAAAUACAGAUGUGAUAUUACCUUAAUAGUCAGAGUCAAAGGUUCUAGUUUGCCUCUCAUCUUUGUACGCACUAGCUAUUAUGUAUUAUGGCCUAUGCUUAGUAUGCCCUAGCUCAAAACCCCUUCCUGAACCGCUUACUACCUUUGUUAUGUUUGUUUUCAUUCCCUUACUUACUUGUAUUACUCUUGACUUCCAAAUGAACUCUUAUACUGCUUAGAACCAUUCUAUUACCCUCAUUCCAAGUUGCGGGUUAAAGUACUGUUAGCAACUUAGUCUUUUCUUACUUGGUUUCAUUCUAAGAUUGACUGGUUUCAUUCUCACUUGACUACUGGCUCUGUUACUGACUCGUUCUAUUCUUGGAUUUACUGGUUCAAUUCAUAGGUCUAACUGUAACUCAAUCGGGGCCAUUCUUAUACUUACUGGUUGGAUUCUUUCUAUUGUUAUAGGGUGGGUGGUUCUUUGUUUCUAGUUGAGUACUGGUAGCACUAUUCCCAGUUUGCUUCUUUGUCCAGAGUAUUCCAAAGAAUGGGAUUGGUGCUUUCAUUCCCUUAUUACAAACUAAGUUAGAUCCUCUGUCGCCGGUACGAGGCCUUAAAAGCACUAGUUCAACUCGUUAGUAUAGCUAGUCUUAUGUCGGAUUGUAGAAGACCGCUAAGUAAGAUGUUAGUGAAAUUCGGAUAGUAUAACUUGUUUCGUCGCUAAGUAGUAGCUUGGCCGUACUUAUGCUCUAAACUCACUCUUCCCCCACGGAACUAGAAACCUGCUAUACCUGGGCGCCUAGCCUUUCUUUGCUUACCAUCAGUCUGUCUCACUGCCUCAAUAAACACAUUCCCAAUAACAUGUCGAUUAGCCUGUCCUUGCUUACUACGAUUCUUACAAUUAUAUGUUACUAUUAUAUGUUAUUAUCCACAAUUCAAGUCUAUUCUCUUGAACGAUAUAUCAGUUGUGCGGGAACGAUAUAUCAGUUGUGCGGUUGUGAAGUAGCCAUCAUUCUAUUAAGUCAACUUCAUUCUGAUUACCAACCUAUACCUUUCAGCGCCAACACACACUGCAAACUAUAUCCCCAUAGCCAAUAGUACUCUCGAACUUCAAAAGCAAGAAUAUAUCCUUCAAUAAAGAAUAGAGGUAAUAAAUAAGAGGAAGACGGUGGAAUUACUAUAAGAAAACACAUGACAUGCUACUAUGACUAUUAUGAGAAACUCAAACUCUUUAACUGCAACUGAUGGGCCUGUCAGUACUGUCUCUUAGCCGUAUGCUACUUCCCUACAUGCUUUAUCUAAUGAUCUGGGUCCGACCUACCUGUUUUAGUCUACUGCUAUUUGCUUUCGAGCUGAACUACUAACUAGUGAAUCAAACUACUAUCUAUGAGAAUGAAUCAACUAAAGGGGGGAAAUUCUGAGAAUGGAACUGCACCUAGCAGGAUUCGGACUUGUACAAACAAGAGUACAACUCGCACCGAUAAGAUGUUAUCACACCGAUAAGAUGCUAUCACACCGAUAAGAUGUUAACCACUAGUUUACCACUAAUAUAAGAAUCGACUACUCUAGAAUCAGAGAAAAAAUACCGACUCACCAGACUGACUAUCCUUUCUGUCAGGCUUACCUGCCUUGCCUUAACUCCAGCUCCAUCUUUACUUUUUUCUUGUACAACUGGGCAUCGGCCUAUCCUUUUACCAAUACAACUAAGGACGGAACUCCAGCCUAGGAAUAUGGAGUAGGAUAAUCAAACAAAGAACACGGGACUCAACUCAGUGAACUAAACUAUAGACUGGGAAUUACCCCGCUGAUAACAAGGCGAAGGUACUUGUUCGGGAAUCCUAAUCCAUUAAGGAAGAACCCAGCUACUUACUAUGAGAACUAAGCUCAACUCAGUGAACUAAACUAUCUACCUUGACGAAAACGAGUACUCCGAUCUACCAGGCUUACUUUGCUGCCUAACAGCCUUACCCUUAUUCACAUCAAGCUAUCUCUCCCGGCUUGGAUUCUGAUUUGCCGCUCUGGAUCUUGCUUAUAUCUUUUUGAAACGAAAACUCCAGUCUCAGAUCCUUACUCUCUAGGUAACCGACCUAUGCGUUUAUCUUACGUUCCAUUCUCUUAUUGCAAACUGACAAAACUACUCAAAAUAAUCUCACUACCGUGGAAAAGACAGACCAAACCUGGUGCCCUAAUGCUUAAACUCAAAAAGAGGAAUCCAUCACCUGGGGCAUGAGAUCAAACGACUAUAAUAGUAGGGGGGCGCCUCUACUACUGCUAAUACGAGAACUCAACACUUGGUAUGGCAACUUUCACUCUUUGACUCCUUGGGUUGAUUCUCUCUCUACUGAGCCGUAUCCUGAUCUGCUGGCUCGAAAGCACAUACUAUACUUGUUUAUUCCCCAGCUUUUCUUUCUUUAACAGCAAACUUCAAUUCUGUGACUGCUGAUCCAGAUCCUAUGUUCUAUAUUAAUCCUAUGAUAAGGAAUAGAAGGGUAACUCCGAAGAACACUUGCCGUACCUUUAAGAGAGCCGGGAAACCAACUACUGACUUGGGUUCUUUCGCUACUGAUAUAAAAGCUGUAUCUAUUGAUUCAACCUGGCACUACUAUCUUUGAUUCUUUAAAUCAGAAAUAAGAUGCUUACUUGCUUUCUUUAUCCCGGGUUCAAGUCCGUUUGUCUGUAGUAGCAUAAUAAUAGUAGUUCUACCUAUUCUCUUCUAAUAAUAAUAGAAUUAAUGAACUGAGUUAUAUCUUGAAUCUUGGCAUACCGAUCCUAAAUCUAAUCCCUGUAAGUUGUUCCUCUUUAUUCCUAUGUGAAAGUUGAGGCCUGCCUACCCUACCUUCCAUUCUUUAGCUUCUUUUACUGCAAUUCUGACUUGCAAACCUACGCUUCUGCCUUUCAAGUUGUAGAUGACGAACUAGAAGACGAAGCAAGUGGAUAGUAAGAUAAAACAUAAACGGAGGAGCUCAAUGCAUUAGUAACAGAAUAGCCAGUGAUCCAAACUCGGAGGAAUUAACACACCUAGAAGAAUAGCUCCCCAAGCCCUAUCUCUAAACUGACCUUCUAGAAACUAUACCUCUGAUUCUUCUUUUGCAUUUCCAAUCUCCACCCUUUCAUUCCUAUACUUAUAAUACAGAAUAGAAAGAACACUGCCUGGCAAGGUUUCACUACUCUUCUUAUAGACUCAAAACACUGAUCCGGAUCCUCUAUUAUUCUGAUAUUGAUUCUCUUACUCGCUUGUCUCAAACUAACAACAGUGCCUAAAGGGCUAUAGCUAUAGUGCCCCUAAGCCUAAUCUCCAUAAAGAGGAAUUGAACCACUGCUAACAGGACUCUCACAGGAACCCCGGAAAAAAGUGACUACUGAUUGAUGGGGACUAAACUCAAAAAAGGUAAUGAAACUCAUAUAGGAAAAAGAAUCCAAAAGGGUAAUUAAGUAAACACAUACCUAAACACAGAAGUAAGGAUACGGCGGUAAGCUCAAUGUAAGAUAUCUGUUUUUUGUUAGGGUUAUAUUCCUUAUGCGCUGUAUUCUCGUACCUCUUGCCCCAGCUGUUAGGUCUUAGCCUACUGAGUGAAAAUCCAUAUUCUUUGUUCAAUUAUGACUUUCAAGUUCAGGUUCUAUUGCUUGGUUAUCCGUAGGUCGGUUCUAUUGCUGUAUAUGCUAUAUCUCACUAUUUACUAAGAAAGAGAGUAAACCAGAGCAGAGCAGGCUCAUAGGUGAAAUACAUAAUGAGUUGGGCAAGGGGGCACACCAAGACACGGAUAGACAAGUAAGCGACGUAAGGACAAGUCAAAGUCUGUAAAUAAGGAUAGUUAGAAUCAGAGACAUGAACAGAAAGCCCAGAGCAAGGAGGGGAUUCAGAUCAACCCCAAUUGCUAUACGGAACGGAACCACCAUACUAUUGACAGCGCCCAUGCUAUUAUUAGAAGAUAGUUUACUCAGUGCCAAUGCUAUUAUGACUUUGGACAGUUCCAAUGCUAUUCGGACUUGGGAGUUGGGGUGGAGGAGAGGGAAAGGGCAGUAGUACGCCGCAACUGAUCUAUCGUUCACUGAAAUAGAAACUACCUUUACUCCUAUGGUAGAAGCAAAUACGAAUAAAACACUAAGAAAAUAGAAUAUAAGAACACACAUAUCAAUAGAAGUUAACAGAAUAACGAUAGUAGUACUCAAACAAAGGAGUAGCAGAGUUUACCUUCACACAUAACACUAAUUGGCAGGAAUGCAAGGUGAUUAUAGGAGUAGUUCAAGUAUGAGAAGCGUUAGCGACCCUAAGCAAAGGCUUGGUUUGGAAUACCUACAUGGAUAGUAAGAUUCUUCUGCCGGUAGGUAAGAUUGACUACCAAACGAGUAAGAUUAACUACCUAACAAGUAAGAUUAACUACCUGGCGAGUGGGGCUUGGUUUAAUGAGCUCAAUUCUGAUAUCAGGAGGUUAACUUCGGGCCGGAUUCUAUAUAAUGAAAGAUCUCUGUAGGGCGUAGGCUUUUUGUUCUAUAUAGAAAAUGGAGGUUAGGAAGGAAAGAGUGAAGUUAAGAUUGUCUGUGACAAAGGAGUUCUUUUGACUUGACCUUACCUACAGGAACGUUAGUAGUCUACUGAAAGCUUCCAUACUCCAUUCUGAUUUCUCACCUCAUAUUUGUAUAUAAUAUAGAUUGAGUAAUGUUAUUUUGUAUAUAAUAUAGAUUGAUUAAUGUUAUGAAUUUAUUAACUAGAUGCCGUAGGUUCAUUGUUAAUAGUUCAUAUGACAUCUAACCGUAAUUCAAAGAUCCAAAAAGCAUAAGUUUCAGAUUGACCGAAGGAAGAAUUCAAAUUCAUGAAAUGGAAAUAAUGAGAUAAAGAACUUAUUGAAAUAAGCUAAUAAGAUGAACUACUAACAACGAUGUAGGCCUAAGUAAACUCUUUCUUUUUCUAUGUCAAAGUUCGUGGGUUGCUAGCUAACUAAGCGAGAGAGACCUUCCUUGCUGUAGUCAAGUCAAAGGGGAAGUCUGCUUUGCUACAUAUUACUGCUCCCCAUGGGAAUCUCAUUUCUCGAUGAGCGAACUUCACCAUCUGGAUAUCUAUCAUGAAAUGGUUUCUGAAAGGGCUACCCACCUGUGCUGUGGAUCACUUGCAUCCGAAUCGCCUUGCUCCGCCUCUGCCUCAGCCUCUGUAUCUGGACAGCCUUUUCGUUUAUGCGCCUGAAACGGCUUCCGAAAGCGUAAAGCGUAUCUUUCUUAGGAAUUCUACUGAACGGGGUCGAUCCACUUCAUUAGUUUCAUUUGAAUUUCCUUAUUUACAGAAAACAGAAUCUCAAUUGAUACCACAAAGAAGCGGUUUUCUUCUUUCACAAUUGGUGACUACAACGAACAAAUGCGUUUAAGCUUAGCGUUCCAACCGUCAUAUCUAUUCCUUACGCUCAGUGCACUUAUAAAGUCUAUAAGAGUUUCCGCUUACCCUUCCACUAAACUAUUAGAGCCCUGUGAGACCUACUCAAAUUAUUCCAAUUCAGUCAAGCCUUACUAAAAUAGGGGGUGGAGGUAGAGUGCGGUGGAUCGAUUAGUACAUGCUGACGUCCGAAAGUGCUUCGCUUUCUAUUCAGAUAAGAACAAGUAGAUCAUAAGCUAGUAUUGGAUUUACUGGCAGAACAGAUCGAUGAUCCUAUCUUCUUGGAUUCAAUUAAGAAAUGACUAAUAGUUAAUCAGCUGAAGGAAGAACCUUUCUAAACUAAGGGAUUGGUCUCUCCCCUUACUAAACCUCUAUCUUAAAGCCCUUUCCCCAUUUCAUUUCAUAAUCUUAAGGUCCGCUUUCAAGCGCUGCUUUGGAAUGUAUGUGGUGUGGGUCUAUGACAUCAGGUAGCCUGCAAUCGAAGAAUGAGCCAACAGAGUGACCAUGUUAGUUGAUUUGCUCUUCUUCAAUCGGGUUUGUUUCGCAUUGGGGCAGCGACAGCCCUAUACCAGCAUACGUAGGCACUUAUACUUUCAUCACCUUUCUGAUAGCCUGGCGAGAUCUGAUCUUUUUUGUUUGGCAUCUAAGUAGUAGGAGUACUUAUUUCUUCCAAUUUGAGAUAAUUGCUAAACCUACGCGAACUUAGAAUGAUCUAGUGACGUAAACCAUUUCCGUGCAGGGCACUAAAGACUCUUAUGGAACAAUCGGAUGGCAGCCCCUUCCUCUUUCUCUAAAUAAAGGGCAGACAUCGGCACAAUAGGCUUUAAGAUGAUAGAUAGGACAGCCUUUUCCGUUGUAUUUUCUGAAUUGCCCGGAUGUGAUGCUAAGAUCGAUUCUGAUUAUAUUAUUAAAGAAGAAAGAAUAGCUAAAAGGAAGCGAGUGGAGUUGUAGAAACGGGCGCUAUGGGGAAACGGGGGCUAUUGUGAGAAAGUCUAGUCACUCCGCUAGAGGUAUUCCAAAUUGUAGAUUUCCCACAACAACUAGCUGCUGCUUGAGUAGAUGUCUAUCUGGCUUUCACAAAAGGAUCCGGAGUCUGGGCCAAAUGAGACUUGAAAAAAGAACUCAUUUGAUUUCGCUACUGCCUUCAAGCCUCGUCUUUCACUCUAUUAACUGAUACGCGUUAGCUGCAUUCCCUAUACGAUGUUUCAAACUGCUUCUACUGACAUCGAACCUAAACUCAAAGGCAUCGCAGCCAGCUAAAGCUGACCUCUGAUUCUUCUACUUCCGAACCUAAAUCUGUAUUCCUUACCCUUGUAGUUGUGAACCUAUGAUUGUAGUUGUGUUAACCUAUUCCGUCUUUCGCCUCCUAAACUAAGCAUGCCCUUCCUGGCUAUUGGUCUAUGUCCCCUUGCUCUCGUUCUGUAACUCCUGAUCCGGAUCUGUGCUACCAAACUCAAACUACCGCCCCCCGUUCUGUAGCUAACUACUAUUCGCAUUUUAUUGAUUAGUAUAAGAAACUCGCUAGUGGCGGUCAAGCCAAGCCUUAUAUCCUGCCCCCUGUUACAAGCCGGACUUGCCCACUACUUUAUUGCAUUAAGUAUUCCGGUUUCGUACAAUAGAAUGUGUUUUCGUAUAGAGUAGAUUCAUUCAUUAGUUGUUGCCUUACUGCUUGUAAUACAUCCCAAGCCGAACUCAUUAGGUUUAUACUUUUAGCCUAUUGGUUGAAACCCACACUCCUGCCUGAGAGGCUUACUUCACUUUCUAUUAGUCUACCUAUCCGAUCUUUGAUUCUUGCUUUCCUUUAUCUUAUUCUUCAAUUGAUUAGCUGAGUUCUGUUAACUACCCCGGCGACUAGCUCAAUUACAUCGACCCUUACUUACUUGCAAACUAUCACACUACCAUCGGGUACUCAGCCCUUCCUUACAAGCAUUCUAUAGUUCACCUAUGAUUCUGACUUUUGUAUUUCACUCUGCAAUGCCUUAUUCUUUUAUUGUAUUGUCCAAUUUCGUAGUAUUUGCUUAGGUAAUUCGGGUCAAAAAGGGCGACUUCCAUAUCGAUUCAAGCCACAUACUAAUAUAUCAAUCCUAUACUCUAGCCUUAUCGCUCCGUGGGGGAAGAGGAAGUUGUUCAAAGGAACCAUCAGCGCAUAUCCUCUAUUCUUGUUGAGUAAGGAGUCCGUAAUAGCAGUUAGACAACUUUGGCAUUAUAGAUGUCAUCCGUGUUGUUACUAUGUGGAUGUCAUCCGUGUAGACUCGGCCUCGGCGCCUAAGAUGUUAGGUUAAUAUGCAUCAGAAGGACAGUUUCCAAGUUGAAUAUAGUAGAUUUCACAGUUUCCAAGUUGAAAUAGUAGAUUUCCAUAAAUAGCUGUUUCCCAUAGAGAAAAAGACUCCAAAUAAUAGGUUGCAAGCCCCGACCCGACCCAAGAGUAAGCUAAUGCACCAGCACCCCGAACUCGGACAGCUUAUGAAUCCAAAAGAAGAGAAUUGAGGUAGCCCGAGUGGAGUUGAAGACGAAAACAGGAAUUUCAAUGGAACUGACCUAGGAGGGGAGAUACUGCGAGAGCCAAACUACCGAUACUUACUGAAAAUACUCAUAUCCAAAAAUCAAGUACUUUCUUUCUUAUCAUUUCCAUACUAACUGUUUAUUCUCGGCUAAUUUCAUUGUCUCCCCCACUUCUUAUUAAUAAAGUAUUUAAUAUGAAUGGAUCUGGAUCCGCGGCUUCAAAGAUGCAAUUCAUUCUUUGUUGACUUCACACAGAAUUGAGUAGUUAAUUGCCCGACUUAGUUGUUUGUUAAUGUGCUCCAAGUAAAGUAUCCAAUGUUGUAUCAAUACUUUCUGCUCGAAGGAAGGUUAGUAUCCAGUAGAGUGGAAAGGUAGGUGUAUUGUGUAUAACCGAAAGACGAGAGAUGGAUUCUUUCUCAUAUUGGAUUAUAUGCCCAAGAGAUAGAAUAUGAAAUGGAUUGCGAGAAUGAAUGAGUUGACUCGGAUCAAAUCAAGACUCAGUGAUAAUGCGAGUGAGGGCAAGAACAAGUGCUAAUCUAAAACGAGUUCGGUUCGGGCAAGUUCCAUUCCAGCUUUCGGUGUCAGUGGCGUCAGUAAAGUAUUAAGGAAGUAGGAGUAUUGAGUCUAGAAUCAAGUAAUAGGACACUAAUGACUCUCUUUGGGCGCUGGGCAACAAUCAAUAUAGUAAUGGUGCUUGGCUUUCCUCAUUUCGAUGAGUUCACACUAAGAAUUAGGAUAAGUAAAACACUUAGUAUAGAUGGGAGUAAAUACACUGAACACAAAAGCACUUCCUCACCAGCUCCAUUUGAGGCUUCUGCUACUGCUCUACCUAACCCAACUUCUUCAACUAAUUUCACAAGAAGAGGAGAUGAGGCUUACCCUCGAACAGCUUACACCCGCUUAUUCUCGAGUUGACAAUGCUCGAACAGAACUAUCCUUUACGAACUCUCUUUGAAAAACGGAAUAGAAAUAAGAAGUUGCACCUUAACCUCUCUUUCCACGACAAGAAAGAUCAAGCCAAUCAAUAACCUCGUAGCCCAGAAAUGAACUCGCAGACAAAGAAACAAGACUGGAAGUUCCUUCCCCAUAUCCAUAUCUUGCUGCUGACCGAACAAGCAAAUCACUUACUGGCUUCAGUUACGGGGUGCUAAAGGAAAGGUUUUUUCUCAAGCGCAUAAGCACUUUUCGUUUUCGUUUGGGGCAGAAGCUUAAUUGGGAUCUAAAGAAAGAUCAUCAGCUGUGCGAAAGGGCAGGUCAACAGCAAGCGGUUUUCAGAGCCGAGCCUCAAAGUGAUGAAGAGGUUACACCCGCUAACUGAAAGGGAGUUGUUGACCACUAUAAUCAAUGAUCCGGGGGGAAAGUGGAAGAAUUAUUUGUUGCUACUUUCACCCUUGAAAGGAAAGAAUCCAUUGGUUAGCCUAAAACUAGACUACUUGCUACCAUUGCUUCAGUCAUACCACACCGCUCACUUACGGGAGCUCGAAAGAUUUCAUUUAUUCUGCUGUGAAACGAGAGUUCGGCAAAAGGGAAGCCAAGCCAGUAAGAUUCAAAAGAAAGAGAUUCAAUGGAUGUUUGAGUUAACUCGGCGCUUAGGUAGUUAUUAGUUGAAAGAUAAGAUGAUGCUGGAUCAGGAUUGGUCGUUAGUAGUGGCUAAGUAUACGCUUGGCGAAUGGAAAUGGGGUUUGCUUUUCUUGGUCCACCAUCACGCAGAUAACAAAAAAAGCUUAAAUGAUCUGGGUUUAUGGUAUGCAUCUUGCCUCCUACCAUGACCUUCCUGGAUCACGACGGGGUCUGCCAAUCUUCCAAUCAGAGAGUAUAGCCCUGGCAUAGAGGAGCCCCCGAUCCCACAACUGACUUCGUACCGACGGGCAUAAGGUGAACGAACCCCCCGGCUUAGUGUAAUAUCCAAUGCCUCCUAGGAAGUCUAGACUUGCUCAGAGAGCCCCAUAGCCUAGUUAUUCUUUCGUUUACCAACAACCCACCUUGCUAAUGCUAACAAAAUGCUUUCUUUUCUUUUUGGAUACUUUUCUCAAAUGUCAAAUCAUAAUGAAAGAAAUGCCUUUCUGAAAGAGGAAAAUGCCUCUCUAAGACAGACAGACACUUUGGAUUCUCGACAACGAUAAGGUGGAAAAGGACAUAUGGCUUUGAGAUUCAUUCUGUUUUUUAUCGGAACACCCUUGGGAUGCCCAAGAACUUAUUGGGUAGGUAUAAAAACUAAGUGCCCCUGACUUAAGGGAAAGAAAGUGGAUUGUUGAUUUAAUUCAAAGCAGAUGAGAGAGUCAACCGGGAAGAAAGAAAAAGAGGGACAAGCAAGGUACUAGGUCUUUUCUUUAUCUUGCCUGGAGUAUGGGAAUGCAUUCAUUAGGGCAAACAAGGCAAUCGCUUCGGCCUAAACGAGAUAACCAAACAAUUUCUUAGCUAAUGAUCGUGCUACUGAAAAGAAUCAAAAAGAGUGAAAAUCCCUACCGAGGCUCCCGCUAAAGCAAUUGUGGCUUUUCCUGUACCGUAGUAGCUUGUCGGAUACUACACUGGAACUGCUGAUGAAGAUCUUUCUUCUGAUCCAGUUUACAAAGAUUCUUCUCUCGGAGACAAAACCAGAACUACACUAUCAUUUGAAGAACCGAUUGCGACUUACUUACUUGAGAAAGCUUCUUUUCCAGCUUAGGUUAGUUACUCAUCAUAUCUAUUAUAUGGAUCGGGAAACUCACAUUCUGUUUACUCGAGUUACAGCUUCAUUCCUACUUUUUGGCUAGUCAAAUUAUGGAUUUGGAGUUGAGAGCACGUGGUAGGCGAGAUAGAGGUCCAUUCCGUAUUGAGGAGAGACAGCACUAGUGAAAUUGGUGUUAGUGCUUCUGUAAGACAAGAAACUUACCGGCUAGAAUCCCAGUAGUAGUCCUAAUUAAUAGCGUAAGUGGAGUUAAUGAGUCUCAAGUAAGCAGCCCGAUCACUAACGCUCAAAACCAUAUUUGCUCCGGACGGGACGGUUUCCAGUGUUGUCGUAGAGAGAAGCUCUGCGUCGGGGUGGGUCAGGAACUGUAGCUAUGUCUAGUAGAUCUCGGUUAAGAAUCUUAGUUGUUGUCUAAAGCUGUCAAUCCAGUUCUUGUUUCAUCCGAAUCCCAUCUUUCUCAUGCCCACACUCAGCGGUUAAUGCUUGACGAACACCAUGUGCAAAAGAGAGAUGAAAGGAAAGUCGACAUCGAUAACAGAAGAAGAAGUUUCCAGUUUGAUGAGACUCAUCAGUAUCAAAUCAGUAAGCAAGCUUUGGAGUUCACUCUUACCUAACUUCUUUCUAUACGUUGCACUAUUAUCUAUAUUCCAUUCUUUGCUGCAGUGUGAGUUGUGAGUUUCGAGGAAAAGGUUAGGAUAUGCUAAUUAAGCGCUAACGUAGUUUAGAGUUCACAGUUCCAGUCCUGUUUUCGUUUCUUUGUCUUCCGGUGAGGUGAUUGAGCUCUCCCGUUAGCGAGUUCUUUAGAAAUGCAAAAUCAAUCUAUCCUGGGCAACUAAUAGAAUUUGUCAUUGAUGCCUAGCCCUUAAGCGCCAUAAAAGAAUAUGCACCCAUUUAAUGGAACCUAACUAACCUUACUACAUUGCUUUCCCACUUGGGUUGAAGCAACGAGACGAGACUUUAGAUGUGACUUUGAGCAGUGAUUACUUGACUUCGAGCAGUGAUUACUUGACUUCGAACAGUAGGGCCUAGACUAAUAGUACUUAACUUCGAGCCUCAAGCUUCUUCUAUACCACAUGUUUACCCGGUGCGCCCAGCCCCAUAAGCCAAAUAAGAGAGAUUCUUGCGUGAAAGUAUUCGGAGGUGAUUCUGUUGUCGGUAGUAGAGAGAGAGGUUAUUGUGCUCUCGUAUCAAAUAAAGAAGAAAGAAUGCUUGAUUUCAGCUGUUAAGGUAAAAAGGGAAGGUAACGAAGGUCAUCCUACGACUAAGACGACUCAGACGAAUGAAUGAAGUGUAUUUUCCCACUAUUCCUACAGCUACUACUACUUCGUACUGCUGUAAGGCGUUUCAAGUUUCUAACUUGUUGCAAGGAAUCUGAAGUUGUUAUUGUCUGGAGUCGCAUUAGUGAGCUGCUUCGGUCAGUAAGUCCCUUCCCUUGGUACGCUCAGCUUAGCCUGUAAGGGUUAGGUAGUGGAUGUAGCUUCUCUUCUCUUCUUUAGCAUCUUUGUUAUUUCAUUAAGUUAAGCAUUGAGGUGAGUGUUGCUAGGUCUUUCGGAACUACUUAUUUGCUUUGCCUUUCUCUCUCUGCCCACUGAACUGUCAGCAUCGAGUCGAGACAAGGUCGGAAUGUUCGCUGAGCAUAGACUAGUCUGCAGUCACAGGCUUGCUAACGAAACUUUGCUUCUCACUGAAAACAGCCUAAGCGAAAGAAAAGAAAAUCGAAUGCGAGGAGCUGAGGCCUGGACUAUAUUCUAUAGUUGUACAUAUGCCAGGAAGAAAAGCCAUUGCCGGUUGUUUUAGAUCGAGUGAGGAGAAACAAACCCACUGCUCCGGGGGCAGCCUUGGGGCGAGGCAAGAUUACGGAGACAGAGAUUAAGGGAAAAGCUGCUAGUUCACAUAUGAUCUUUUCAUUACUUAGGGUUAGGAUCAUGUCAGGGAUAUGGUGAAAAUCAAACUCGCAUUUGAACACUGUUCGGCGUUAUUCUAAUUAAGAUAAGGUAUGCAGCUAAGCAUAGUGUGUUUCUUAGGAGUGACUGAAUGCAGUGCUUACUUAGUGCUUCCAAGUCCAUGCUAGGCAAACUCAGAUUAGCAGCAAAUCCUUUAUUAGCAUUAAAUACUUCUCACGAAGAAGCUGUCUCACCUCAUAGUUGUUGUAUAGGUCUCGUCCUUAGAACUGUCUCGAUGCCAUGAACGUUGGUCUAAGACAAAGUAAGGAGGUUGUUGGAUUUUCGUUACGACUAUCCCUUUAGCUAUUGACUAUGAUACCACCCCUUUAGCUAUUGACUAUGAUAAUAGAAUCUAGUAUGAUGAUUGUGACUAUGAUAAUAGAAUCUAGUAUGAUGAUUGAUGGAGUAGGUGCUUGCUAUCUUCCUUAGGUAGUAUGAUGUAUUGAUUGAGUAAGGUAGUAUGAUGUAUUGAUCGAGUAGGUGCUAUCUUCCUUAGGUAGUAUGAUGAUUGAUCGAGUAGGUGCUAUCUCCUUAGGUAGUAUGAUGAUUGAUCGAGUAGGUGCUAUCUCCUUAGGCGAGGGUAAGCAAAGCCAGAAGACUCACUCCAAGAGGAAUCGACUGAAAGAAGGAACACUCAGAAAUCCCACACCCCACAUAAGUAACGAGCGGAAGAGGGAAUGCAUGCCACUAUUCCAAUUCAAAUUCCAUGAACUAUUGAACUUACUAAGGCGAAAAAAUGCAACGAGGAUCAUUCUAUUCUCUAGACAUUAGGGAUACAUACAUACAUACAUCUUUCAAUUCUAUACAUUCAUUAGGCAUACAUAUAACAUUCAUUAGGCAUACAUUUCAAUAUAUAAUAGCGAUAAGGAUGAUUACGAUUGAGACGGUAUUAUCAAGCGUGGGCAUAAGAUGAAUAGGUGGAGCCACCCAACCCAAGCGUGGGCAUAAGAUGAAUAGGUAGGAGCCACCCAAGUUUAGAAUAACUCUAUCUUCUUUUCCUAGUGAGAUUUUGAUAAGAUAGAUGGAAUGAGAUCCGUGUCUUAUUUAUGAAAGUAUCAUACCCGCCUUUACCGCUCCGUGGUACCUAUAUGACUCUAUUUCUUUAGAUUCUACUCAUUACUCUAUUUUUCUUUAGAUUCUACUCAUUACUCUUAGAGAAAGAAGAGAGCUUUACCAGUAAGUCGAGCCCUUGAAAACCAUAUUGGAAGUCCGGAUUGAUUGGAUUUAUCGAAAGCCUAGGAGCUCCAUACAGACUUGAUUGGACCUUAUUUAUGAGCCUAUUGCUAGUUAUUUGAUCUUACUCGCGUACGAACCCUAUAUAUACUCAAGUGCUUCAUUAUUGCCCGAGUUCUCUAAAGCAUCCAAAAUGAAUGGAAUAGAGUGCUGCAAAAGAAAAAGAUGUAUGAUAUGUGCACCCACCCCGGCAAGUAAAAGAAUAUAUGAUAUGUGCGUGCGCCUACCUCGGCAAGUCACAGAUUGAUAGCUAUCCCUACCUACAUAUAGAAUCCGAGUUACUCCACUUAUUGUGCCUAUCUGCUUAAUUGCCCAGCCGCUAUUCUAUUCCUUGAACUUGGCUUGAACUUAACGCCUAAAGUGGAACAUGGUGCACCAACUAUAGGAAGAGCGCAAAGAAGAGAAGAGGAUCUGUGUCUUAUACUGUGUACUUUCCGGCCACCUAGAAGCAAGCAGCUCUCAAAACAUCACUUUUGGAAUGUAGGUGCAGCUGUUCUGUUAUAUAGUAAUAGUCACUCAAGGGUCUUGGCAUUUACGAUAGCCUAAACCCAUAAAUCUAGUGGGCCCACAGGGGUUAUCAAGCGCAAUGCUCCUAUUCUUUUUGGUUAACUUGGCCUGGCCUUAGAGGUAGUCUUUUGUGAACUUGACCUUUGUUGGCGUAUAGAGAAACUGUUCGAGUGGAAGUUUCAUCAUAUAAAGAGAAAGAAUUGAAGACGGAAUUCUCAACUGCUGAGGUUACUAAGAAAGGAAAGGGUCAUGUUACUGAAUUAGGCUAUAAUUCAUAUGUUCCCACUCUUCGAAUAGCUAAUAAAGAAAGAGAAGAAACUCUUCGAAUAGCUAAUAAAGAAAGAGAAGAGGAGAUACCAGAGAUUCCGUAUAAUCAAUGAUAGCUUAACUAAGUGAAGUGAAGUAUAGUAAAGGUCAAGAAAGGACUCAGUAUAGUAAAGGUGCUUGACAAAGUUCAGCAGUAGGGUAUAGUCAAGGGCAACCUUCUCUAACGCGCUUAGCUUAAUAUACGUUGCUUGUAGAAUCGAUAGAAUAAAAGAUAGUGUGUGACUAAUAUAGAAUCUAGUAACAACUGACUGUAAAGAAGAUUAAUGAGGCACAAAAUAUCAUAUCUUAAACAAUUCGUUUGUUUGUGUGUGUAUAGUUAUGUUAUAUUAUAUCUAUUCUAUGGCGCACAACAACUCUGGUCGAUUAUAGGAAAUGAUAGGAUAUUUUCGCUAUUGUAACAAGCAUACGAUUCAUGGAGAAAUAAAGAAAUAGAUCGAACGAAGGCGUGUGCGUUCUCGCCAAGGAAGAGGAUGAACUUCACACAUAUAUCUCACACAUGGAUAAGAGAAAUAAUGUAAACAAAUCAAAGAAAGCCUAUCAGGCAUUUCACCUGCUAAUAAGGCAUUUCACCUGCUAAUAAUCAAUAUAGGAAUUAUGGACUCUAAAGAAUAGGGGUUCCAUCCUUUCUAUGGUUACUUCUGAAACGGUGAGGUCCUGUCCUCUCUAUACACCGGAGCCUCCUCUUUCAUUUCAUCAAAUGGUAUAGUUCACACUCUUUGGCUCUACCCACAUAUAUAUAUGUGUUGAGUAAUAGCUCUUUUCACAAGAAAAUGUAUCUAUACAGUGAUGGCAUGAAAUUCGGCUAGGUAGCAGACCCUCAUAGUCCGGCUCUUUUAACUAACUAUAUAGGAGAUAAUCUCUUUGCUUCUAACUACAUAGGAGAUAAUCUCUUUGCUUCUUAGAAUACCUUGUUCCAUUCCAUAGCUUCAUGGAUAACCAUUUUCUACCAAUGGGUAAUAGCUUUUCAUCUAAUAUCUAGGUGAUUGGAUUUUCACCAUAAUAUGGAUAUGGAGAUGAUAGAUCUUUUCAAUUGACCCUAUUCAUUGGUACCGGUAAAUUCCAUACAUAAUCUAUUCGUUUUUGAUGGAUCUUUUCUAUUGACCCUUCUUUAUUGGUACCGGUCAUUGACACUGUCCAAAUUGUCUCAUUUGUUCGAACUCAUGAUCUGAACGAGUCGCACAUACACCCUAGUCAAUGUUAUUCUAAGCGGAGUACAUCUUGUAAGAGCGGGAGAAUUCUCCACAUUCCUUAUAGGCUGUCUUGUGUUCGUUCCUAAUAAUAAGUGGAAUAGUUGGCAUGUCGUCCAUAUAUAUGGAGAUUAUUAAUAUAUUUCUCUAAUAACAGGACAGGGUUGGUUUAGAUCGAUCUUUACCUUAUGAUUGGAUUGGAGCUUAAGAAUUCCGUAUUUCUAUUCAAUACCACAAAUGCCGGAAAUUCUCAUUAUGGUUUUGAAAUGUAUUUACAUGAAAUCCCCAGUAUUUGCAUUUUCGACCGCUACAAGAUCAACAAUGCCAUGAGCUUGCUUGGGCUUCAGUUGCUGACAUAAGAACAACAUCCCUUUCCAUGUCUUCAGAUACAACCCAUAAAAGGGUGUACAUAAACCACCUUUGUUAGGGUUUCGCGUCACUAGUUCUUCCACUUCCAGGAGAUAUUCCCCAGCUUUGCUUGUGCUUCAGAAAAACGAAAAAGCGCUGGUUUAUGAAUCAUGACCCUAAUUAUAUUGAUCUCUUAGAUAAGAACAUAAUGAACGGUUCCUCUAUCUCGCAUGAUUGGGCUAAUAUAAGGUCAAAAAUGAAUAACAAGAAGAAAUGGACCAACCGUCACUGGCAUCUUCUGUGCGUUGCAUACGGCUCCGCAAUGGAAUGAACUCUUCUUAUUCUAUAAUAUGAAAGCUAGAUAGAGAGAAGAUUCUAUAAUAUGAAAGCUAGAUAGAGAGAAUCCAUCUGAUUUAGAUCCCUUAGUUUGCACUUUCCUUUCUUUUGAGGUUUAUGUUCUACUGCGGGAAUAGAUCUGUCCGAAUUCUAUAUAGCAUAUAGGGCGGCUAAUGCUCUCAGUACCACUUCCUUUUUCAAUUCGUUGAAUGCCUUUCCCCAACCAUUCGAUGUUUUCAUAAGACUAUUCCAUUGGUUAUUGGUUGGACGUUUGAAAUCACUCCUAUAUAAUAUCCGGAUAAGAAUCGUUUAUGAUACUAGUGGUAAUCGUCCAUUACAUUGAUUCCCCAUCUGGUAUUUUCUGAACGGAGCCUAGCCUAGCCUAGAGACUCUAUUUUUUCCUUUAUUCCAAGUCAACCAUAAAUAUGAUACUAAUGGAUCCUAAAAAGAAAUGGAAAUGGAUCUAAUUGCACUUGACGCUCCGAAUGAUUGAUGGUUCACAACUCAAUACAUACAAUAUUUCGGCGGCGAAAGAGAGGAUAUCUCGCUCCACGAGCCUUUACUUGCUCAUAACAGAGCAGCCUUAAGCGGCAGCAGCGGUUCAACAAGUAGAUCUCGCCCUCAAACAUCGGUUUCAAGAGACUCGGCCCAAGAAAGAUGAAUGGAAUAUCCGUCGAGAAUAAUAUGUAUGGAGCAGAAGAUUUCUCAGGAGUUGAUAGAUAGGAGGGGAGGGGUCUUGUAUAGAAGAUUUUGGUAAUAUGAGUAAGAGCUAGAUUCUUAACUACUUUGGAUUAUAUCUUAUAUGUAUGCGAGAUAGAUUCCACAAUUAAAGCAAGGUUGACUUACCUACUCCCUACUUAGUUGUUAAUGCUUAAUAAGUUUCAAGUAGAGUUCGUUUUUGAACCACCAAGCUACUACUAAACAAGCAACAGCGAAAGUAAGCGUUAGCCCUAAGGAAGGAAUUGAAGCACUAUCAAAGCUAGGGCGUAAGGAGGCCUCGGGAAAGUCAAUCCAUAUUAAGUCUAACCUUCCGACAAAGAUUCCAUAGAUGUUGAUUCACGCUUCUGCGCUAAGGGAGUUUACAGUGAGCAUAAAACUCACCUUGGUUACUUGGUGCUUGAAAGAGCUCUACUUAGCUACUACCCCGCUUAUCUAAUACUGACUUGUCUUAUACUAUCUUCUACUAUCUUGUCCCUAAGAAACAGGACCAUGAAUUGAUGAACCAACAACAGAAUCACCUCUCGAGUCGACAAGGGAAGGAGCUACAGGAACUCUACGGCAACUAAGGUCCAGAACAGGAACUGGGCAUUCUAUGGCUUCAUAUCUUGAAACUGCAUCAAUUCCAUUCUUCAGUAUACGCUUGCACUUAUUAACAUUCCUUGCUCAUAACACCGGACUAACGCGAGUGAGUGAACCUUUCUUUUCUGACCGGCUUCAAUAUAGAUCGUAUUUAUUACCCCAUUCAUUAUAUACAAUACUUUUACCACUUCCCCGCAUCAAACCCUGUACAAGUCCUUUCUUAGACAAUAAAUCUUAUAGUAUGAGAAAUUCUCCCCUAUUCUUAUAAUUACACACCCCCACUCGGCAGCAUCAGAUCUGAGAUCAUAAGACACUGCUACCAAUGCCCAUAAGACUCACCCUACUAACAGUUCAUUCCGCAUCUGUAUUCCGACUUACUAAAUAGGGCUUUACUUCUUCAACACCCGGUUCAGUCUUUGAUUUACUGGCGAACACAGGACUUGGCGGAUCUCAAUGCCCUCUUUGACUCCUAACUAUAAAACCCCUAUCCAACUCUUAUGACCCGACCAUCGCCACCUGUAUUUGUCUACUCACUUCCUGUCUUUUAUUCUACCUUGGUUGACCAGGCAGUCCUACUAACUUAUAGAAUCAAGAUUGGAUUGGAGCUAAUGCCAACAAGAGUUGCACCGGAUGCGACUCAUCCUUAUACUGGAAAGCGCCCUGCCGUAUAGUAGUUAAAAACACUACUUUAUUUAAGGCUAAGUUCCCGGACAAACAUUUCUUGUCCCCCACGAUGCAUGAACGCUGGUAGUUGUUGAUUUAUUAUAUUCGUAUUAGUCUCCUUAGCCGGGUACCCUUACUUGAUAGGUGACUUCUUCAAUUCCUACUUUACUUGGAUCUACCUCCUCGCUUACUCGCUACUCAAUCCCAUAAUACGGAGUUCUAUUAUGAAGGUAUAUUAUGAAAUUAAUGUACUUAAUUCUUGAGUUCGCCUGUCAGGCUUUCAGUUCCUUGCUUUUAGUCCUACUUUACUUGUUUUCACCCUACAACUCCAUACUUGAGAACUUGCUUCCACAGAUCAGUAUAACGAUCCCCUAUAGCUAAGCCUGCUCUGACUUGCUCUAAAACGAAAAUCCCUCCCGCCUUGGGUUAGUCUAUCUCUCCUGGCUUUGAUUCUCACUAUCCUGUCUCUCGUUCUGUUUUCGUUCCUUUGCCCUUAAGUAAUUGAAGCCCCAUAGUAGUGAAAUCAGAUAGGAGCGGGUAACUAAUGCUUGAGUGGAAUUCUAUAGGUAACCAGACAGCUUACUCUCUUGGGUGGGGAGCGAAAGUGUCUAGCAUUAGUAUCAGUGUCAUAUACUAUUGGCCUGGCCUCUCCUUAUGCCCUAUAAGUAUGCUGCUUCCCUUGUAGACCUAUCCUCUUGUAUGGAAUUGUAUACGAAGACAUAGCAAGUAAUCUAGAAGGAACUCCCGAAAGCAGUGGAUUCACAACUAAAAGGAACUCCCGAAAGCAGUGGAUUCACAACUCCAUUUCCCACUCCUGCUCCUGUAGCCUUAAUAAGUAAGGGCAAGAAGUACUUAGGCGCUCAAGAAGGAGCAACCAAAUAGUACUAGAAAGCAGAAUGGAAUUGAAUAUCCCCCGACCCGACCUCUGUUUCUCGCCCUCUUGCUAAUACGGAGCCUCUUUAUAAUGCAGAUCUUGUAGUUAAGGCUUUCACACCAGAUUCAAAUAGAAAGGAAGUAGCUGAGUAAGCAAUAAGAUUUCCAACUGAAAGAGAAGCUUUGUAAGGGUGUAUUGAAUGGAAUGGGAGAAUUCGAUCAGACGGCAGGAUCAGUGCUCAAGUAUGUCGCAAUUGAAGGUGGAUUUUGGGGUGCUCUGCCGGGUUUCGAUUCUAAAGGUUGAGUUUACAGUAGAAGAAUGCCCUGUGACAAUGGAAAGUACAGCUAUUAAAGCAAAGGUGGAAAGUCCUACCUGAUAGAGCUAGGGUGGUUUGCUCCAUUCCCUGUUUGAUCUAUUAGCACCCAGUUUCAUUGUCAUCAGCGGUAGUUUAGUUCUAUAAGAUGAGAGCCAUAGCGCGCCCAGCCUAAUAGUUGCUUCGUGUAGCUCAAUUCAGUAAGUACGGGUUCAGUCUUUUAGUGCACUAGCCAAUUCCCAGUGGAUGGAGUCGUUACUAAGAGUUCUUAGCUCGGUGCGCAGUUUCGUACGCCCUAUACAGUUGACUCUUUAGGCAGUGUAUUAGUCUGCUUGUCGCCAGUUUGAUUCAAUAGGUAGGUGAUUGGAUUCCCAGUUGCUAGCUAGGGUCUUGUUAGUCGUUAUUUCAUUUUCGUAUUCCCAUUCUCGUAUUCCCCAGUUCCAUUCCUGUCAGAAGUUGAUUUCCUAUUUGUUAGGGGAAGUUUCCAGUUUAGAACUUACCUGUGAGUGACUUGUCUGCUUGGUUACUAAGAGAAAGGAGUGUCGGGCUUAUUUCUUUGGUUAGGUCAACAGUUUUAGGUACUCUACUUAGGAGUUUCAAUUCGGACUUAGUGCGCUACACGAGAAAUUCCUCCUUUCAAAAGAAAUAGAUUAGUGAGAGAUGUGCACUCUACCAUAACUUCUGUGGUGUUUGAUGGGAAAGUAUUGAUUUUGCUAGGCUUUCAGCACCUUAUUAGAGGAGAAAGUAUUAAGUGUCAGUAGCUUGGGAAUGAGAUAAAGCAAUGUUCGUUUUAGAGCUAUAGUAGCUUAAGAGCGAGAGACAAGAGUGAAAGUCCGUAGCUUUUGUGGAAGUAUAGAGAUUUUCAAUUAUCAAUCAGAAUUCCAGGUAUACAGUUUGGUGCUAAGUGUAGGCGAUAAGUGUAAGUUCGGUGCUACAGAGAAAAGAAGUCUAGUAUUCUGGGUCAUAAGUAAGAUGGGUAAUAAGUCAGAGUUGGAUGCUAGCUAUAAGUCUAGGUUUUGGUGCUAAUAAUGUAAGUACGGGUUCCGUCUUUUAGUGCACUGGUGAAUCCCCGCCAAGACGACAAGCUACUACCGCCAGAGCCAAGCCACUAGGCAAUCAGCCCUUCCCUUACGCGACUCCUACUAGUUGGGGCAAGAACAUCACUUUCAUAGCUUAGCUUCCCUUUCUGACCUGACCUCUAAUAAGUGCCCUACCUCGACUCUGGACUAGCUUGACUACCUCGACUCACCAGACUUAAGAACCAGAUCAGUGCAGGAACCAGAAAGUAAGUAAACGACACUACCCGAGUAAGUCAGCCUAUCCCUUUUCACUAGGCAAAACUCACCUCUAUCCGACACAAGACAAGAAAAGAAAUAGAUCCUAUCCGACACAAGAACAGAAAGAGUAUCUAUGGAAGCUGAAGUCGACCUAGACCUAGACCUCGUAUCACAAAGCCUUGGACUCCUUAGCAUCAGCCUGUAACUCCCUCGGUGAAGCCUUAGAUGCACCCGUUUCAGCCUUAGACUCAUCAGUGCCAUUCUGUGACUCGGACCGGAUAGCCUGAGUACCUAGCUCAGCAGUCCCCGAAGACAGGACUUGUUUAUUGCUUAGCGCCCUAGCUCCCCUCUUUGCCUUUCUUUGCCAACUCCUAACUAGUAAUUACCUAUAUCUAGAUUUACCGCUGAAGACAUCUUAUUGGGCCAAGCGUAUACAUUAGAGUGGAAUGAAGACCUUUGAACUUAGGGCUUCCCUUCUCUCCUUCUUACUGAACAGCUGAACUUGCAAGACCCAACACAGAUGAAACAAAGAAAUCAACUCACACUCGAGCAGUGGAGCUCCCAAAAACAUCUAUUGUAAUGACUUGGCAUAUCUAUUACUGUUGCUACCGCACAACGUCUUGCGCCGUUGCUUGGUCGGAACAUUAGUAGUUCCUUGGCCCGUUACUUGGCUCUCAUUUCUUUGAUUCCAAUAGCCUAGCCUCACAAGAUGGUGCUCUCUUUUGACUACUGACUACCCGAAGAAGGUACUCUCUUUCUUUUGACUACCCGACCUAGUAAAGGAAUGAAAACAAGCAUACCCUAGCCCUACCAUAACAAGCAAGUAAGUAAACAAACAAGCCUACCCGAGCCUCUAGCCUAGUAACUGACUGAGGGCAAUCGGUGGCGAACACAGGACUUGGUACAUAAGAAUGGAAUUGACUAGGAGCAGCUACGGGUAGCGGUAAGUAAACCCUCUUCUUUAUAAAUCAACUACUCGCUUCAUCACCCUAUUCCUCUGGCCAAGAGGGCAGGUUAGCUAGUCAAUUGAAGUAAGUAAACCACCCGCCAAGCAACUUCUACAAACGCCAGACAAAAAAGAAUAUGUUCUAAUUUCGUUAUGAGCAAGUCAGGUAUUCAUGGCGGCAGGAGCCCCGGGUAGUUUGAGUGAAAAGAGCCAUAGGAGAGUGAAAAGAACAAUAAGGAGAGGAGCCAGAGAGUACUCGCUUUGAGGCUAGGCUAGUAUAGUUUCCUUUUGAACUCACUCCUGGUCCUGUGCCCUGGUGUCCGGUCAAGCUGGAAAUAGAGAAACAAGAUACCAGAAUGAAACUUAGUUGGCAAGUAGUAAAGGCGAACACAGCACUUGGUCUAACUACUAAGCUUGGUCUGUGUAGUAGUAGCUUGAGGAGAGGUGAGCUAGUAGGCAAGUCAGAAUGAAGGUAGUUUACUUACAAGUUUCCAGUUCCAGUUCGAAAGUAAGCUGCAGUGAGAGUUUCAUCCCUAACUAGUAGUAGUAGAGUAGUUUCAUCCCCAGUUGCCCUUAUAUUAAGUCGGAGAGUUGGAAGAGCAAGAGGAACAAGUCAGAAUUCAGUGUUAGUUGACAGAACCUCUCUAAUUCCUAAACAAGUAUACGAGUAGUAAAGAGUUAACCUGUGCUUUGGAGAUAGAGGCAAGGGAAGAAAUAGUCAAUAUUAGGUCUACCUGGAAUUCUAUCCCUAGAAGAGAGAUAUACCUCAUGAAGUUCAUAGUUGCCAGUUGCCAGUUGCCAUAGGUCUAGUAGCAAGAGAGGAGCAAGUAGUAGAGUAGUAAAGUUUCAAAAGAGCAUAAAGUUGAAGUCUAGUUGUUGGCAAAGGUGAGGAAGCCGGGUGCUCCAUAGGUGCAAUUCCAUUCUUUGAUGAAAGUUAAGGCUUUGGUUGAAGCAAGCUUGAGUGGAGGUCGGGUAGGCAAGUAGGAAAGAGCAGUGAAUGACUAGGGAGUGUUACCUUCGCAACAAAUACCUUAGCUACUAGCUACUUAUACCUAUAGCAACAGCGCUUCUAUUACUACUUAGCUACAGGGCAAGAAAGGAAACCCCAAGAAUAGGGUGCAAAAUUCACUAUUUAAUAACUUCUUGAGUCUUAUAGGAAAUCCAUCAUUGAAACCCUGAAACUGUCCAACAAAUGCAAUUGAAAGCUGGUUUUCUCUCUUCCUAGGUGGAACACUAGACUCGUUACAUAAGUAAGGGUUAUUAGUGUCUUGGCCCUAUCUAAAUUCUUUCUUAUAAUAUAAUAGAAAUAGAGUGGAAUCAGUAUUUUUUGACUCGGCUAAAGGGAAGGGUUCUUUUGUUGAAAGAGCAGAAGCGGGGUAGCAGUGACAGGUUUCUUGAUCAGAAGCGGGGUAGUAGUGACUUCUGAGAUACUUGGUCGGCAAGGGGUAAUCCACAAAUGAUUUGUUUGUCGCAGUACUGUAAGAGAAGCACGGUGGAGCAGGAUCAAAAGCAGUUCAAAAGUGUGCAGCAGAAUAGCCUGUUCGGGUUUAAUCUGAUCUCUACGGCUUUACCAAUUACUUAAGGGCUUAUGAUUCUAGAGUGUCCUUUCCCAAUUACUUAAGGUCAAAGAACUGGUAAAAGCACUUUCUCAUAUUCUUUCUCUUUAUAUGAGAUAAGGACUAAACUACGGAUGGAAGGAACCUAGACUCCACUCUCACUACUUAUUCUAUUGUCUCUGUUACUUACUAGUGGAAUUCUAACUUGACUACUUGUGAGUGAAAUUCUGAGUUUCAUCUGUGCUCUUAUAUAAGAAGAGUGAUUUGGAUAGCUAUUUUCUUCUACAUAACUUAUACUGUGUUGAUAUAGGAGAAAGAGAAGUUGUUUAUCGGGCAGAAUGAAGUUAUUAUGAAAGUGUGAAGGCCAGUCCAUUCUUAUUGUUUGCCCUGACCCGACCUCUUAACAGGACCAGAUCACUACUUGUAAACUGAAGACUCAACUGUUUACAACUUAUUAUUUAGGCGGUUAAGAAUCCUUAUCAGUUGGUGGUUCAAAACUUAAGCAAACACUUUUGGUGCGAAGGAAGGUGGUCAGCUUAACUUCUUGGCAUGCUUUCUUCCUAUGUGAUAUAAAGAAGAUAUUCCCCAAAAGUAGGCCAGAGUGAAAUGCGCUAUUGCGCGUUAAAUAAGAAUAGUAAUCAUUAGUAGUAGAGCUACAGAGGGAAGUCAGUUCAUUUCUACUUAGCAACAUUGCCUUAGCUACUAGGCAACUCAGUUAUAGACUUUGCAACUAUAGGCAAUCCGGGAAUUCAUUCUACUACGCGCAUCCUUUCUUACUUACUUACUUAGAGUCAAAUCAUUCAACAACUAACUUAUACUUUAGCAGAAGAAUCUCAUGGAACCCAUUAUUCCUACGCCAUGAAUAAAGGACUUGGUAAUAACUAAGAGAGAACCUAUACUGUCCGAGAGAAAACCUGUCUUAGGUCCCCAAAACGCAAGACUCCUAAUUAAUUUGUUAUAACUCGUUUCUGAGUUAACCUGUGUUCGCCUUUCCGAGGUAGAAUAUCUUACAGGCUUUGUUGCGAGGUAUCUUCUAGCUGCCAGGUAUUAUGGAUAUUGCUAACACCUCUAUAGGAUUUUGCUAGGUAUGUUAGCUAGGUAUAAGGUAUAAUAGAAAAAAGUCACUCCGCAUGUACUCUCCUUUCAGAAUAGAGUUUCCUAGGUUACAGUUCCACUCUUUCUUCUCAGUAAAAGUUCCAUUAAGUAUUAGUAGUUGCCUUGUAUCACAGAAUACCCCUAAUAGAGCUUAUAAUGCAUUUUCUGCCUAUUCCUCUUCUUGGACACACCGAACCCUGAUUUAAUGAAAAGAUAGUUUAUAGGUUAUGGUGGUGUAUUGGGCAGGUCAGCAGAUAUGAAAUGCAAUUAUGACUCAGGAUAGAUAGACGGUAUUGAACUAAAGAAGAGAGUUUACUGAACCCUAAAGAUUAUAGGAAUCAAUGAUUUAUCCGGCCUGUUUCUUAGUGGAAAUGAGCAAUCUCUCUAAAAUCAUAUAAAGAUGCGAAAGAAUGAAUUGUAAACCCUAUUCUUACUGGUUGUACCCGGACUGCCGCUCUGUAACUCCUCUGCUGGCCUCUUUUCCUCUUUCACUCCUCCGACUCUACUCUACAAAUACAUCUUUCUAUCUUACUAUUUAAUAUCUCUGUCUCUUUCUUCUUUACAACUAUUCCGACUCUUCUCCUGCUCCUAUAACUCUGUACGAUGCCACUUUCCCUUUCCAAACCUUUCCUGUAGCGUUCGUUUACCCUUACUGAAAUUCAUGAAGUAUAAGCAGUUAGCAGUGUUUUUAAUCAAUUAUAUAAUAUGUGCACUCUCUUCGCAAGUGGAUACGAGUAUUAAUCAUGAAUAGCGAGGCUUUCAAAGGGACGUUAGCCCGCAGCUUGUUGAGUAAGCAAAGCAGAGACAACGAUAUGAUUUCACUAAAGCACCCCGCACCACUCACUAAAGAAGAUGGUAUAGGCGCAGAGGAAACAAAUACCCAAUUUCCCUUUCCAUUAGCUACAGUCAAAUCACAGAAUUCAAAUAACUAGUCUCAAGCACGUGGUAUGGAUCCCAGUCAAGAAACAGCUCCUUAUGAUUCUUCUAUUUCGGAUGUCUACUUCCCUUCCCGCAUUCCUUUCUUUUGAAUCAGUUUCCGAUCUUUCUACGGCUUAUGUAUCUGAUCUUGUCGAUGUCUACUUUCCACCUUCCGCUUUUGAGAAAGCAUCAGAUCUCGUCCAUGAAACUAUAACAUCAAUAGACUCCAGGACCGAUGCGCUUUCACCAACAUGUGACUUUCAAACUCAAACUCAAAACUAAGAUUUUCAGAAUUAAGCACAGAGUGACCUAUAUCUCUAAUACCCCUAUGGCUAAUUAUUCUAUUUAUUGCCUGCAUACUUCAACUCGCAAUUCAAACUUUCAUCGUUAACUUCAAUUCGGAAAUGAGCAACCAAGCAACUAAAGGAGAGUGAAUAUGAGUUAUAACCAAGUAAGACAAGCUACGACUAAACAAGCAGACGGAUAAGCAACUCAUUGAGGAGCAGCUAGACUUAACGAGCACAAGAACUCAACUUGAAUAACAGACCUCGAACUCCACUUUCUGAACCUCGAAUAUAGUAUUCUCUUCUCAAGGCAUCGCAGCUGACGCUGCCCUCGCUUCAAAGCCUACACUGUAAACUGGAACAGACCCGUCUUUGAAACUCAUCUCUUACGCGCAACUCAAUCAAAGAUUCAUUUCUGCACUAGAUGUCAUAUGAUUUCAUUAUGGAAUUGCGGAAAGCAUUGCAACAUUCAUUGAAAUCCACUACUACCGUCCCUGCUGCUUACUGACUUGAUAGUGCUGAUUCUCUUUAGUAAGAAUUCCACUCACACUCGAACAGUAACUGGAACUACACUUGGCCGUUAUUACUUCUACUGACUACGUUGCUUGGCGAGCUAUAUAGCCUUGCCAACACUAGUGGAUUUCUUGAUUCUUAUAUUUCUGUCAUAUUAUUGGUAUGGUAGCUUGGUUCUAUCUCUAUAGGCGCUAGGGUCGUACCUCUAGAGUAUAGGCAUAUAAAAGCAGCAAUACGUAAUUUAGGUAAGCAGUAAGGGAAUGAGAGCAAAGAGAUAUGGACUGAUUAGCAGGUUAUUUAGAAUAGGAGUUAACGAGCCGCAGACUUAAGUAAAGGGUAUUAGGUCAAGGUAGGCUUAUAGGCACCGGUUACAGAAUGAAAGAGAGGAGCUAAGAGCCUUUGAGUUCCGGUCCUAUUUUUCUUUGGUUUACUCUUUCUGGUAGCUCAAUUACAUCGACCCUUGGUAUCGGUGAUUCAAUUCAAGACUAGAAGAGAAAGUACUAGGGGCGGUAGCUCCACUCUGAUAUUAUUAAGUUACAGCUUGAAACAAACAAGCAAAGGUCUGAGUCGAUAGUCAUAGAAUUCAAGUAAGGGUAGGCUAGGAGAAAGCAAGGCCAGGGCUCUAAGUGAAAUAAGAGUGAGUGUGUCAGCUAACAGGCGAGGUUUGGGUUUCGGUGUGGCAGCCUUAUAGACAGGAGAGACAGGAUCGAACUAGCACAAGCAAUGCUCUAAGUGGGUAGGGGCAGACAGAUUUGCUAGUGGCCAAUGAGGCUCGGGCUUCCAAAAACAGGACUUGCUCAUAAGUAAUUGCUUGCCUCUGAGUAGCUAGUGUCAUCCCUAGUUAAGAGAGAAAGGAUCUUAAAGCAAGCCAACCAUCAAGAGAAACUACUAAUAAGUAGGGAGGAGAUCUAUAAGGUUGGGAUUAAUCGUUUCAGUUGGAAUGCCCAAUCAUUAGCGCCAUUCUAUAAGUUAGUUAACAAGGCUUAUACCCACGAGCUCACCGACACCGGCACCAGUAGCACUGGANNNNNNNNNNNNNNNNNNNNNNNNNNNNNNNNNNNNNNNNNNNNNNNNNNNNNNNGGAACUCUGGUCUGGCUCUGGCAACUGGCAAUACGGACUUUCUGGUUUCAUUCUUUUACUCACUUAUUCCAUUAUGUAUGUUCAAGUCUGGUUCUUCUGCUCUUGAUCUCCAAUCAGUAUUUCACUUAUUAGUGUCUGGCACUGCUUUAUCUCAUUCCCUAUCUCUACAACUUAACUGGGCACUAUCCAAGUCUAUUGCUCCUCUUGUUCUCGGUCUAUAACACACACUUUGGAUUCUUUAUAUAUCGAUAUGGAUCCUUGGGGAAAACCUUACUCUACUUCAUAGAAAUGGAAAUCUGACUUCAACUAUCUAUUAGGCUUCCUUUCCUCUAUCUCGUUCUACUGCUACCAAUAAACAGAAUUGAGCUGCUGACAAACAGACUGGAGCCCAGUGCUUUUAAUACUGGAACUUAUAGUGAAAUACUGGAACUUAUAGUGAAAUAAUAAAGAGUGGCACUGGGGAAUACGAGAAUGCAACAGAUACUACUAUUUCACUACUACUGAUAAGGCCUUAGCUCAUAACUAUCAAUACCUCCGCUCAUAACUAUCCGUAGCUCACAACUAUCAAUACCGUAGCUCACAACUAUCAAUUUGGAUGAAACUAUAGCACCAACACUCCCAUUCUGAUUUGAUUUCCCAACUGACUAGCCUCCACUCGUACCUUCGUCCGCGAUCGAUGCGCUUAACUAACGACUAUUGGAAUUGAACCACUGAUCUAACAUCUUGCUUGUUAGGGCACUGAUCUAACAUCUUGCUUAGGGGUAGCUUGCCACUCCCUGGCUCUCACUCUGCUAAUCCAGCCUUUGAGUGUGUAUUGAUGGUUGGAGUAUGCUGCCCCUGCAUCUCAUUCUUUAGUUCACCUAAACUUCUAUAUGCGAGGCUCACUCUGGGGCAUUCCCCUGUCUUUAAAGCCUUACUUUUGAGUUAGAGCUUCUCUCCUUUGGGUACCUCUCUAUAAGAUGGGACGGAAUCUUACUUGUAUACAAGAAUAAAAGAUAGGAAAGCAAGAGUGAAAAAGCAAGUCAAAGAGUAGAGCACAGAAGCGGAAAUGCGGGUAGAAGUGCAUAAGCAAACUCAGGAACAUCAACUCCAAAGUCAGAGUUAACUGUUGUGUAGUAUUAGACUCUAUUUUAUAACGAAGUAGGACACUCUAGUAUAGCUAUCGGAGUAGUGGUAGUAAGCACAAGGGAAUAGAACAAGUACAAGUAAAUGCAUAGGUGUCGGAUCGGAGGGAAUCAAUAAGUAGAGUAAUCAAACAGGAACCUUGAUUUGCUCAUAACAGGUUCUCUGGGAUACCUCAUAACUACUGACUUCCUUCCUAGCCUAGUCACUUCAUGAAACAACUAACCUAGUCACUUCAUUAAACAAGUAAUUCCACAAUCACCAGAAUAGGGGCAGUACCACCAACCAGUAGGAAAACAGAUGCAACUAGGAAUGACACAAGAACCAGAGCAGUACUACCGGUAAGUCAACUCUCUUCUCUACCUUCUCUGGCUCCGGCUACUAAUCUCACUCGACUCUGGUUCAUCUAGAAGACUCACUGUUUUCGGGAGCUAAACUCAGAUAGAAAGUUAAGGUCAUAAACCGGUUAAGGGCAGAUUCAAGUUCAAUUACGGGUGCGUGUACUCUUUCUGUUCCAGUUGCCUUACUUAUAACGGGAGAAUGUCCUUUUGAUUCUGAUGCAAGCUUAAGCAGAGAGUUGUCUUAGUAUUCUUAUAGGAGUAGAACGGUAAGGGAGUUCAUUAGUAAAGAGGAAAGAAUUCAUUACAAGUACUUACUCGCGGAUGAGGCUGCCAUGACAUAUGAUUCUCUUAAAGCAAGAGCCAGGGAGGAGGAAAAAAGCCUUAUUGUCUCCAAGAAAUAUCCGGUUAUUGGUGUUUCUCCAUUGCGAGUGGAAUCGUACAAAGAAUCAUAGGCUAUAAGCAUAUAAAGGAUCAAAAGAGGGAUAAAGGAAUGUUAGACUUGCAUCCGUUCCUGAGUUCACCUGUGCCCUUAAGUAAUUGCAAGCUUAGUUGUUAGUUGCGCGGUAUCCGAGUUAAGAGCAAGUCCUUUAUUCAGGGCGGCAGGAAGCUAGAAGCGUAAGAAAGAUAUUCCAGGUUGCGAGAGGAGCUCCUUGAUUACAUUCUAGCGUUAGCCGUUGGGCAAGAAAUAAGCUAUAAGUGAGUUCGCCGCACCGCACCUUAUUAGAUUAGAGUUUACAAAGAGGCAUAGGCAUAGGUUAAACGACCAUAAAAAGGAAUAAUAUGGAAUAACACGAUCUGAAUAAAAGGGAAAAGAGACAGUGCGGGUAUCAGCUGCAAGUGGUUCUGAAACUGGAACAAGCCCGCCCAAGCCCUUAUGUGAAGUAAGUUGACCGAAGCAACCCUUAUUUUAGACUCGGAAAAGCUGUGUAAACCCAACAAGUCACUUAAUGUUACGCGUUAGAAAAGUGACCUAUGCGAAACGACUCGAAUGGCUAUAAUCGGCAAAAGCACUAAAACCUGUGAGCUAUACAGAAGCAAGCCAAAGAGAUUCGAAUGGUUCUUUAACUUACAUGAGAUAGAAUAUCGUCAAAAAAGAGCAUAGUAAGCAAUUGAGUAAGCAGCAUAAGUCUCUGGAAAUGAUGUUUCUGUGUUUGUCUACGAGCGAGGUUCCAGUGUUGCGGUGCAAAAGUCAGUUACUAGAAGGGAAAGUCAGUUACUAAGUGACUAUAAGGGUAUAGAUUCGGGCAUGAUUCCUCCCCUAUAGACUCUCUCUGCGAAAACAAGAUCAAAUUCCUUAUUAGUUGGACUUGACUAAAGACUCACAUAAGUAGUACCAGGCCAAACAAUACUAAGUGCGCUAACAGAAAGGUAACCGUCGGCAAAGGAGCUCGAUGGAUCUGUAUUUGUUUACUCGGGGUCCGGGAAAGUGGAAGAAUUCUUUGCGCUAAUAGAGAAGGGGCCAAGCAACGGGCCAAGCAACAGUAAGAACGAAACCACUACUAAUAAGAAUUCCACUCCCCCUCUCUGGCUCUGGACUACUAUACUACUUAUUAAACUACUCGUAUACUAGGAACAGCUCCUGUCGCUAGUGUUCGGCAACAAGAACUCUCCUCUUGCUCUUCUCGGGCAACAAUAACCAUACCUUUCCUAUUACCAAUUCCCCUCAUUUAGUACUGGGUAGAAACCUAUGCUAUGCACUUAAGUAUCAAGUUACAUAUCAAGACGACUUUAUGCUCGAAGUCAAGUAUUCAGUUUCAAGCCUAAUAUAAGUAAGGGCAUCAAACAAAAGUGAGUGAAAAACCGAAACUACCAAUCCAUUAGAUAGUAGCACUGGUUGGCAAGGUAUGAUGAGAGGUGCCUUAGCCCCAUCAUUGCAAAACUCAUUUCUUUCUUCGGUCAAGGCGAGUGGAAAGGGAUAGCUAACUAAGCCCUUCUAUAUGUAACUCAUGCAGAGACUAUGAAACUCCUCCCUCGCAACGGUGUACUAGAUUCAAAUGAAAGAGAAACUAGAUUCAAAUGAAAUAAACUAGAAAGGGCAACUUACACUCUGCACUCUUUCCAUUGUAGUUGACUUUACGAAGCGAAGGAAAUCAAAGGGUCAUUUUCUAUAGGAGAGGAAUUACUAGCUCCAAGGCUUCAAAAUGAGAACUUCCUUCCUUGCCCUCGAACCGAGAUGUCUAGCCAAUCACCGUACGGAGACUCAGCUUGGGUAUAAAAAACAGGAUGGACAAAAUGAGAAGGAGACCCACUUGACCACUUAUCCUUUCUACUUUUUAGUGUACAGCCAUAGUCAGAUAGCAUAUAAGAGGUUUUGGCCUGAAAGAAAGGAGUAGCUACCCAGUGCGAUAGCUUGCUUUUACUAAUACAGGACCAACAUCGAAAGAAAGUGCAACUUAUAGAACAGCUGAUAUACAUUUUCCCUUAACAACAAGAAUCAAUCUCCAUUCACUGCAACUAAAACCUCCUUAAAAGUGAUCUAGUGAGACCUUACCGGUAAAGAUGACUAAGACAUGGAAAUCAAUCUAGCCAUUAGUGCCUUAUAUCUAGCCCCUUACUUCUCCUUUUAUCCCUGGGAGUUUACAGUUCAAAGCUAUGUCCUCGCUUAUCCAAUUGCGGAAGAAAGGGAUAGAGCAAACGAGCCUUGGCAGUCUCAGUCUAUUUUCCUUAGUGUAGAGAAUCCGUUUUCGGAGCUGUCCUACGCGGAUAAAGAAGCCUAACUAUCUGACAGGACUCUAAAGAAGUCACACCAUUAAGAAUGAGUGAGCGUACUAGGCCAUUUCUUUACCUUAUCUAUCUUUAUAUGGACUUUACCUUAAAUCGAAAUCGAAUAGUCGCUAGGGGCCUUUCCGUUUUCCCACUACCUUCUUUGAUGUAUGCAUAGCCAGUUUCCUGUGAUACAGAGUUCGUUGCCAGGCCAGUUACACCAUUCAAAAGAUUAACGGAUAAAUAGGCAAUAAAAUGGAAAUAAGUUCGCUCUCUUUCUUUUUUGAUAAGCCAGUACCUGUGCCUUCACCAGCCUCUCCAAUUACUGCAGUCAUAAGGUCAAGUAAAGACUUCUAUCCUAAAUGUAAGCCCUGCCAGCGAGUGUAGUAGUCGUUCUUACAGUUUCUUCUAAUAGAGAUGGGGCAGCUAUCGACUUACGAGAAUCAAUUUGUAUCUCUGUCCCUUCAAUCCUUUCAAGCAUUCCCUUUACAGCAAUGUGAAGCUAAACAUAUCCGCCAAGCCGACUAGUUUCCGUUUAUUGUACCUGUCGCUCCUGGAGUAGCAUUGGAAAGCUAAGCUCAUGGAGCAGAAAAGAGAAAGUUCCCUGACAUCAUCUAGAGAGAGGGCCAGCUCCCAGACAUCCAAUAGCAGUUAGAGAUAUGAUAGUUUGAGUUUCCGUUUCCGUCCCUAUUCCUGCCGAGCUUGUUGCAGUCUCCUUUUCUUCACUUCCAAGGUGAAGCGCAGCCCUCUUCUUGAAAGCCAACAAGCGCUAGGUAAAGGGGCACCAUCAAGUGAUCAAGGGACUAGUUUCAGGAAACGGCAUAGAAUGGAAUGUGUGAAGCAUCCAGCUAGCGAAUGGAAUGUGUGAAGCAUCCAGCUAGCCAUACAGUGAAAUCCGAGUUCUUUACAGGUCGGGUUCCUUUCAAAAGGGGCUUCUACGCUGACGCCAAGCACAAGCUACUUAUUUCGACUGAUUCCUUGUUUCUAUUAUCAAAUCCGGAGUUGGAACAUGUGCUCACUCGACGGUAUGGUGGAUAAGAGGUAAUCAGAGGCAAGCCAGCAGCCUUAAGCCAAAGAGGCACAACAGCGCAGCGAAAUGAGAUGGAAGGGCUCGAAAGCAAUAAAAGGUUCAGAAGCCCUUUGACCCAGUGCUAUCUAUGUUAGGGUUGAAUGAAACCAUAUCUCAUAGGGAAUAACUCGUUCCAGUACCGCUACCACUUCGAGUGCGAGAAGGAAGCCUGAUUCAUAAGAUUCAUUGUCUGGGAAAACCUUAUCCGGUAGGGAAGACAUCCCUACAGUAUUCUUUCCUCUGACUCAGUUCAAGGAAGUUCGUUUUUACUGUUCCUAAUUUGGGUGUUGUUUUCUUACUCAAUUAGAUAUAGAGAAGAUGUUUCUUAUUUGAGUUGAUUGAAGAUGCAAGUAAGAGGUUCGGUUACUCAAUGUUAGAAGAUGUUACUUUAUUUGAUUGAAUUAUGUGCACACUUAUAUGUAUGACUUGAUUACUUGACUUCACAUUUGAACACUUGAACUCUGACUCACUAGGCACUUAGGAACUCGCUUAGCGGAACUCCACUCCGUUAGCACAAGCGCUAAGUCAAUAACAAAGAAAGUCAAUAAUGCUCAUAUAUAUAAGGGCUAAGUCAAUAACAAAGUCAAUAAUGAGAGUAUAGAUUACUCUCGGUGCCUAUGCCUCUGCUCUGUCCUUUUUGAGUAGUAUAUCCUAUGCCUCUGCUCUGUCCUUUUUGAAGUUGUAUAUAUAAAUAGCACUCAAGUCUCUUCAGCAAGCAAAAGCGCAAGUAGAAACACAAUUCGAACUGUACUGUUGUCCCUAUACUCCACUCUUAUAACAGCGCUGUGCCUAUCUGUCCUUAUUGUUCGGUGCUGCCGCCUAUCCGAUAUUUCUCUGUGCUGUGCCUAUCUUCAACUAUUAUAACAGUGCUUGUGCCUAUCUUCUCUUUCUUCUUUUGCACUCAAUUCCUUUUGAACUCUCUGAAACAAGUAAGAGCGCAUGUGAGCUUGUUUUGAAGCAAUGCUGUAACGCUGUGUUAUGUUAUACAAUAAAGUAAUAUGUAUGCAGUGAGUUUAGGUAGUUUAUUGACUUUUGAAAUGGGAUGCUAAAUGGAAAGUUCUACGAGUGAGGGAUGCUAAAUGGAAAGUUCUACGAGUGGUAUUGAGAGCCGAUUCCCCCUAACCCAUAGUGCCUUACCUCCGUCAACUUCUUUCUAUGGGACCCCCUUCUUACGAGCUCAAUAACAUUGACCCUUUCCUUUCUCUCUAUAGAUUUUCCGUAUGCCUUCACUGCUCGUGGGCAUCAUAAAAUGGAAUCGAUUCUCUUUCUUUUCCUCUAUACUAAGAAAGAUUUCAACAUAACAAUAGUACAACAUAACAAUAGUAUAUUGCUCUUAUUCUUUGUUAUCGGGGCUGCUUUUCAGGGCAAGGCGCAUCACUCGGGAUUGAAUGUCAAGUGGAAUUCGAUCGACUUGCUUGAGUAAAGUAGGCCUAGUAUGCUAGCUCGACGCCGACUGCCCCUCUUAUACGACAACACAAAGAACUCAACUCCCUACCAAUGCGGUCCAUUCCCCUUUACUGUACCUUCAAGCUGUAACUACCUAGGAUUGCCUCUGCCUCUGUUUUUGUUGGCAGUCUUUAAGAAUCAAAUAGUCGAUAGAAACUCCCUAUUAGAUAGAAGCUCGUAUCACCUAUAAUUUAUGUUUAGUCUGUCCUGUCCUAUAUUUGAGUAAGUAUCCGUUAGGUUAGAUUACAACUAUUAGAUUCGAUUACAUUAUAUGUCCACUUCUCCUUAUUUUGAUAUCAUUUGGAGCACACUACUAUUCUGGGAUUGGAUUCUAUGGCGCACUUCUCUUCGAUUCCAUUAUAAUGUUUGUACAGGUACUUUCUGUUCUAUGAGUAGUUUCUAAUCCGAGUAGCGGUAAGGGUUGGUUUGAUUAAGUGAGUAAGCUGUGUUUUUCAUAUAUUCUUAAUAGAAAGUGUGCGUGCACUACUAAAGUAUUUGUACGUUUCAAUAAUGAGUUUCGUUUAGUAAAGUAGGUGGGGUUUGGGGGGUUAUAGUUGCAUCCGUGAAAUGGAAAUUCUGAAUUGUUGACAGGAACACUAGCGGUCCUCCUUAAUUCAGUAUACCUCUUAUCCUACUGUUACUACUGAGUUCAAUUAAUACUUGAGGGAUUCUAUUUCCAUUCUUUUGCCUAUCUAAGAUUCCGGGAAGGGCAGUUUAGGAAAGAGCCCGUCAGCCAUCUCGUCAGGAAGGAAGUCAGUAUUUCCAGAAGGCCUAGUUAGAUGCUAUUAUCCUGAGACCUAAGAUUUCCAGAAGACCUAGUUAGAUGCUAUUAUCCUGAGACCUAAGAUUCCCCAAUCACUAAAGGCGAAAAGUUUCCCCUCGGGCCCCUAUCCUUUCUCCUUACGCAAACAACCAGUUUCAGAAAAACAGCCUAAGACAUUAGUUUCCCGAAAGUAGAACAAGGAGACAACCACUCCUAGCGCGAGUCCAAAGAAUAGGAAAAGUGCUUGGCUUGCUUUAGCUAUAAGUCAUGAAGAUAGGAGAGGAUCAAAGUGUUGCAGUAACUGAAUCAACAGGAGAAGGAGAAUCAUCUGAGUCUCAAGAUUUCACUGUUUGAGUGGACAACUGACUAUUUCUCUUAGCACUAUAAUCAAUACUAGAAAGUGCCAUUCUUGGUGGACUUGCUCGUAAGGGAGUUGACCUGACAGCGAUAGAUUCCAUUCCAUUCCUAUCAGAUAUGCGCUCGGGAGCCAUCAAUUGCCAAGUCCUUAGUUUGGUGUUCGAGCGUCAGAAGUAAUGACCAGUCCAGUUUUCAUAUCAUGGGCAAAAGUCCAUUCUUUAACUAGCGUACCAGUUUCAGUAAAAUGCACUGUCAAGUUAGGGUUCAGUUCCGGUCCAGAAUCAAUUCUAUCCUUCAGUGCGAAGGUACGAUCGAGAAUAUCCUUCUUCCGCCCUAAGUCCUUAUUUCGGCUGUAGUUUAGUUCCAGUAUCCCUCAGCUGUAGUAAGAGAGCAGGCUUUGCACAUCAUUAUUCUUGUUUCGGGAUGCGAAAGACAGCGGUAAGGAAAUAAUUGAGUCACUCCGGGGACUGUAACACUUUUAGACCCCUUUUGAAUGAACAUGUAUCUGUUGGUGAAUACCCCUUUUGAAUGAACAUGUGUAUCUGUUGGUUCCGAUAUAAGUUCUUAUAGUCAAAUAAUCAUUGUUUUUCAUAUAUUCAUAGAAUCUUGCUUGCACUAAUUACUUAUUGACGUAGGGGUCACUUUACAACAUUAGAGAGUAUGCGCACUCAACUCAUAUCAUCUAGUUAUCAUCAUAUUGAAUAAAGUCAAAAAACUCCUUACUGCUAUUACCCCACCCACGGAGCAGAGCGGGAGCGGGAAGGAAUAAGUCUAAAGGGAAAUCAAUCAGUAUAAAGAAAGCGGGAAGGGCCAAGCAGCAAUAGAACCCAGUCACCAACCCAACCAUAGCAUAGCUUCCUUCUAACGCAUAGCUUCCUUCUAACAAGUGGACUCGCUAAGCACAACGCAACGUCUAUUCCUGUUACAGGCUUUUAAGCACUAACACUCGUUUUCGUUUUCAUUGAAGUCAGGAUAGGGUAGGUCGAGAUAGAAUCAAUUAAUUCUUAAGCGUUAAGUAUUGCCUGUUGAGUCCUUAGUUGCGCUAACAUAAGUUUUGAGUUGCAUUUGACUCUUAGCACUAUAAUCAAUGUAAAGGAAAAGUUGUUGACUGAAGAGAAACUGCUAAUUUGACUGUUUUCGUAUCAGCUAAAGCGUCAGGUAAAGUUUACGAGAAUGGGGUAUUUUACUGGUUUGGAUGCCAUGCCAUAAGUCAGGAAUACGAGUUCCAUUCCAGUUUUCCAGUUUCCGUGAAGUCGACAUCAUCACCUGGAGCAGGAUCAUAAGUGGUAAGGGCAGUGGACUCGGUUAAGGCAAAAGAAGACAGGCGGAUUUCUCUAAGUGGAAGCUCUGUCUUACCCUGUUUGUUAAUAGCAAAUAUCCAGAUUUCUCUAAGUUGAAGCUCUGUGUUACUCUGCUAAUAGCAAAUCCAUCAUUUGGACUGUGCUACUGCCACUUCAAAUACAUUUGAGCUGCAUGUAUAAGAGUUAGAGCAAGCGUUAGGCGAGUUCCUUUGAGCUGUCUGUAUGUAUCAAAGUGAGAGCAAGCGUUAGGCGAGUUCCUGAUGUUACACCACUCGUCAAGUCACAACUAUACAAGACAAGCAGGAGUGGCGCGUCAGUAGAGUUCGGUUACGCGGCAGUAGGGCGAUCCCAUUCUGGUUUUCAUGUUUUUCACUGCGUCGGUAAAGCUUCAAGGGACCCGUAGCCGAGUGCUGUUGUAUUUUGGACUUUAGCUCUGUUUGAAAAGUAUUAAGUAACAUGCCCACGUAGCUAUGCGGUUAAGGUUUACGGAACUGUAAGAAAAAACCUAGUACAGGUGCGCGAGCAGUGUGAGGGAAAGUCUAGUUCUGGCCAGGUGUUGGGGUGUCAAUAUUCUUUUCUUUCGAACAAGUGCGUUAGUUUCCUUCCCGAGGUGCCUACCUUAGUUCUUAUAGUCUUGAGUUGGUUCACUUGAAUGAAAAGCUGUAAGUAACGGAGAACAAGCAAGCCUAAGUGCUUACGUGCGUGUAGGUUAUUUUUCGUUUCGCAUUUAAGUUCCUUUUACUUUAACAUAUAAGGUAGGUGCACACUCCAUUCUUUUUCUGGUUUUCUUUAGAGUCAUGCAUUUCCAUUCUUUUCUUUAGAGUCCGGAGAGCAAGCAACAGUGUAAGGUCAAAAUGUAGUACUUUCAUCUAGGGUUCGGCUGCCCAUAUUCUAUUAUUAUUCUCUUUUGAGUGUCAGUUAGUGAAUCUGGAAACAAUGCUUGCUCUGUUAGAUUAAUAUCUUAUCGUUAGCUUACUCUUUGGGAUGCAGGGUAUUAUCAGACUGAUUGAUGCUUUGGGUAGCUAAGGUAUCUAACAAGUGCUUCCAAGCCUGAUACUAAUGUUCGAGUAAGAAUCCAACCAGGGAGUUAAGGAGUGGAGCUACUAAGUCCAGUAGCCAAAGAGAUGAGCUAGAGUUAAGAGAAGGAGUUAACCCUUAAGUAAUUGGGGCGGGCUUUCCCUUGUAUACGAGUUAGGGUCGGGUCGGUAAAAGAAAAUAAGAGAAUUCAGGCUCUUUGUUGCGAGAUAGAGAGCCCACUAUGCAAUCUGAAUCUAUGAAAUGCUAUGCUAUAGGGAGGUUCAUAAGAUUCCCAUGCUUAUAGGCGAGUUAGAAAGAUGCAAAUCCAGUGUGACUCGGCGCUUAGAGAGUUGGUAUCAGUUCAAUGAAUAAGGGAUGCAGAUGCUGUGUAUUUACUGGGUUCUAUACCAAGUGCUCAACAAUUCUAUGAUGAACUUUAAGUCGAGGUAGGGAAAUAGGAAAGGAAGUGGGAAAUCCAGGUCGGGAAAGAGGAAAGGGGGUACUGGAGUUCAAUCAGAUCUUUGCAUUUCCCCGUGCAACGCUCCUCCGCUAUUAAUUAGGACUUGGUAAUAGCCCCAUUAACAUAUAUUAUAUGAGUUCUUUACUUGUUAUGCCUUUGUAGUCGUUACUUGGCCGGGAUGCAACUGGGAGCCAACCCACGGAAGGAAACAUACUAAAUGAAUUAUUAUCUUAUGAGGAGCAACCAAGCUUAUACUAGUUAUGGGUACGGAGCCAGAGUCGAGGUAGGCGUUAACACUGGAGGUCGGGGAAGAGUCAAAGUAACCAAAACACGGGAAAACGUGAGUGACAGAGAUCAAACCAGCUUUCAAUUCAAUUGCAUUAAAAGAGGGAAANNNNNNNNNNNNNNNNNNNNNNNNNNNNNNNNNNNNNNNNNNNNNNNNNNNNNNNNNNNNNNNNNNNNNNNNNNNNNNNNNNNNNNNNNNNNNNNNNNNNNNNNNNNNNNNNNNNNNNNNNNNNNNNNNNNNNNNNNNNNNNNNNNNNNAAUAUCAGAAUUCAAUGAGUAAGGAUUAGGUACAAUCUAGAGCAUUGGACUAAAGGGUCAGACUCCAACUGUAAAUACAAAAGGCAACCUACCUCUAGCAAACCGAUCGCUCUCCACUCUCAAGUGAGAAUUGCCCUUAAUAGGUCUAAGUCACUACAACGUAGCUUGUCGACUUGGCGGGUAGGUGCUUGUCAAGUAGUCGAGUUAAAGAGACAGCAGGAGAUUCCAAGUCUGAGGAGGUUGAGAUGAAGUCGUCAGCAGCAGUAUCAUCAUAAGGAGCAGGCCAAGUUCCUGUUUCAAGAUCAGAAGUCGGGUAUUCUUGUUUCUGUUACAAAGAAAGUAGAGUUAAGGGAAUAAACUUAGGAAUGAGCGAGAUCCCACUCUAUUACUAUAUGCAGGCCUACUUACUUACUUCAUAACUAGUAACAGACUUCCUAGUAACUGACUUCGGGCUAACUCAACACUACUAACUUCCUUCCGCGCCUAGUAACUGACUUCGGGCAAUCCUUCUAAAAACAUAUACUGAUUUGUGAAAUACAGCAGAUUCCACCUUUCCUACUAGCUCACCAAUGAGUUGCAUUCUUGUCCUUGCUAGCUCCACUCUUAUACUAGAUGCUAAGAUUCUCCCUUACCUCUGAGUUUCAUUCUGACCUUCCUUACUAUUAGCCUGUUCGUUCUUAUUGCGAUUAAGUUCUCUCGCUCUUGUCUAUAAGCAUGUCCUUGCUUGCUUGAAAACUUUCACUUAUGCUCUUUCUUUUCAUUCUUAUUCCGUGAAAUUAGAAUAAUGAAUAAUAACAUUGAUUCACUUACAUUGGAAUAAUAAUAACAUUUAAGAUAUUGGAAAAGAAUUGAGCUCAGUAGUCAAGUCAAAAAAAGAAUCGAAAUAGGACAUACCGGAUAGAGUACCGACUUCAAAGAAGAAACCAACCCGGAAACUCGUUCUUUAGCUACUGCUCUCAAGGCUGCCCUUCCCUUCUAUUAAACUGGUCUCGUGAAUAUGAAACUGAUAUUGCUACCCGGAUGGCAUUAGUGCUUCUCAUUCUUUGACUAGUGCUUCUCAUAAUGAAAUCACUAUCACUGUCAACAAGAUUGAAGCAACUGCUGGAAAGGUUGAAACCCAUACUAAACAGAACCCCGUCCGAUUGAACUAGUGCUUCUAACAAUGGAACUGGCCGAUAUGAUUACUUUGACUUUGGACUUUGUGGACCGAGCUGUAGUCCUUCUAGCAGUGGGUUCGACCUUAUUUGUAGAAGCCACAGGCUCUUUGUUGGUAGGGGAAGUGGACCUUAGCUUAGAGACAGGAACAGCCAGCAUUAAAGCAAGUCAGGGGAUACAAAAACCAGUGUGGGUCGAGUAAUGCUUUGGAAGUACUAGGUUCAGAAGCAAACAGGUAACUAUCAGACUCAAGCUUACGUGUCUUGGCGCUUGGCGAGUUCUUUAUUCCUCAUUUGAUUACUAUCAAUGGAAGUUUUCAAUCCUAAUUAGUAGUGGUGUCGGUUUAGGAGAGAGCAAGGUAAGACUGAUGGAUAAGUUAAUAAGGCGUGUAUUGCUGGGGUUCAAUCUCUUGUUUAGUGUAUAAGGUUGAAUCAAUAGAAUUGGAAUGUAGUUAACGAGCUCCGGGCUCAUAGGAAGUCAAGUAACGAUCCGGAUACUUACUGACUUUAACUGUUUUGACUCUUGUAGUUGUCCCCAGUAUUCUUUGGUCUUAUUGAGGAUUCUGUCAACUCAUA
rnacentral:lncRNA from 1 species